UGACGUUUCUAGUGAUUUCAAUAGUUUUAUAACAAAUCUACGAGUGAAAUUUUGUGGAUUAAUGGUCAUAGUUGUGCUUAUAUGUGUUGUGAAUCUUAGCUCGAUCUAAUAGUUGAAUUGAGGGUUAUUGAGGUUUAAGAGGUUCAAGGUCUCAAAAAGUAGAAUUUUAGGUCUAGUGAGGAUUUUUAAGAUUUCUUGUAAUCUUCUAGUUGGAUUGGAGUGAAAUUUAUGUGAGAAGAUAUUAGACUUAUUUUUCUAUAUGUAUGAGAAUUUUAAGAUCAAUCGAAUGGUUUUUAUGAGAGACAUUCACUCUAAGAGAUUGGUAUCAAGGUCAAAAAAGGAGGCUGGCCAAUAUCCAAGCACUUUUUUGAGGCUAUCGUCUAUUUGGUAAUUCUAAUCUUUUUUAAAUUUUUUUGUACUUGUUUCAUUAAAAUUGUUAAAAAGCAUGAAAAUUUUGAGUUAAGAUCAAUGGUUCAUUCAUUAGUAAUUGAGAUAUAAAUCUAUUGUAGGAAUUACUAGGAUUUGAUUUAAGGUUUAGUAUUUGGUUUAGGAUUUGGUUAGAGUGUGAUUUAAGAUUAGGGUUUGGUUUAAGGUUUAGGAUUUAGUGAGGGUUUGAUUUAGGAUUAGGAUUUGGUUAGGAUUUGGUUUAGGAUUUAGGAUUUGGUUUAGGAUUAGUUAGGAUUUGAUUUGGGAUUUAGGAUUUGGUUUAGGAUUAGUUAGGAUUUGAUUUAGGAUUUAGGAUUUGAUUAGGAUUUGAUUUAGGAUUUAGGGCUUGGUUUAGGAUUUAAGGUUUGGUUAGGAUUUGGUCAAGAUUUGAUUUAGGAUUUAGGAUUUUAUUUGAGUUUGUUUAGGAUUUAAGAUUUAGUUAGUUUUUGGCCUAAAGUUUGAAUGAAGUCCAAUAGAAUUUCAACUAGGAUUAAAUUAAGAUUGAAUUGAGAUGUAUUUGAGAUAUAUUUAUAAUCAUCUUAAUAUUUCAUUAAAAUUUCUUAUUAUUUCUUUAGAAUUCCUGUGAGGUUUCUCUGAAUUUUAUUAAAGUUUGUUUAGCAUUGUUAGUGUUUUAUUAGAAUUAGGAUUUUGUUAUUGUAAUUUCUAUUCUACCUUCCACAACUAAGUGCCUGGAGCAUUCUCAAGCAAGACUUCACAUAUUACAACAGCAGUUGAAAGAUAUCUAGGUUUUGGUACAAGAAGGUAGCAAAAGUUAGCACUUUGGGGUUGGAUAGGAUUUCUAUGAUAUCUAAAGAUCUACUAAUUGGAUCAAUAUGAAAUUUGGUAUUACAUUAGAAAAAUUCAAGACCAAGAUAUAUACCAAUUUUGAAUUGAAGUUAAUAGUUGGAGAAGAAGAAAACAUUAUUAGAAUAUUUGCAUCAACUUUCAAGUUGGCAGCCAAGUAACAUUAGUGUGGUAUUUGGGCAUUUUUUCACAAUUUGUAAGUUGGAUUGGAAUGAAUUCUUUUUGAACAUAUAAAAGACUUAUAGUGGCAUUUGUAUGCAAAAUUUUGCUUCAUAUGGAUAGUUAGAUUAGGAGCUACAACUUGCUAAAGCUUAUUGAUUAGGAUUAAGGUUCGCAAAAAAAUUUCAAAAUUACUUAAUUAUAAAAGUAAUAAGGCAAUUGGAAUUUAUUUAUAUUUAAAAUUACUAAAAAGAGUAUUUUUGAAUAUUUGAAAUUACUAAAAAGAGUGUUUUUAAAUAAUAUUUUUAUAAUAUGUUUCACCCUUAUAAGAAGAAUGCAAUUUAAAUUUUAAGAAUUUUUAAAUGAUUUUAUUGUCUAUUACCUAGACAACAUCUUAAUUUAUUUUAAGAAUACAAAAGAAUAUGAAUUUUAUGUUUGUCAUGUAUUACAAAAACUAAGAGAUGUGGAAUUCUAUGCCAAGAUAGAAAAGUAUAUAUUUUACAUUAUUCAAGUCGAUUUUUUAGGAUAUGUCAUUUUAAAUGAUGGACUUAUGAUGGAUUCUAAGAAAGUUCAAACUAUUAUACAUUAGAAGAUCCAAAAAAUAGUAAGAAAUAUCAAAUGUUUUUUAAGAUUUAUCUCUUACACAUUUGACUUAUAAAGGCAAUCUUUAAUGGAAUCAAGAAGCAAAAAAAACAUUUAAAGCUUUGAAGACAACAUUUAUUUUUACACCAAACAUGUAUUAAUUGACUAUUCUAAGAUAUUUUUUAUAGAAACAUAUGCUUUAGACUUUAUUUUAGUUCUUGUAUUAUUACAAAUAGAAAUAGAUGAUAAAUCUCACUUAAUAGUUUAUUAUUUAAAAAAAAAUUAGUAACUAAGAUCAAUUACAAGAUUUAUGACAAAGAACUUUUUAUAAUUAUGGACUAGUUUCAAGAAUGGCACCAUCAUAUAAAAGACGUCUUUAAUCUAGUCAUUGUUUAUAUGAACUACAAGAAUCUUAAAUAUUUUAUAUCAAUACUUAUUUUGAAUCAUUACAAAGCUCAUUGAAACAUAUCUUUAUCAAGAUUUAAUUUUAAGAUUACUUAUCAUUCCAAAAAAUAAUAAGGUUUUUAAGACGCCUUUUUUAGAUGUUCUUAUUUUGCACCAAAAGAAAGAAAAACAUCUUUUAAUUAACAAAGAACAAUUUUCUUGAAGCUGGAGCAUUUUCAACUUUGAGCAAUAAAAUCAACAUUGAUUGUUGAUUCAAACUUUAUCAAACAAAUUCAAUGAAGUAUGUCCUUUGAUCUUCUUGUUGAUGAUAUCAAAAAUCCUUCUUUUAAGUCUCGCAAUACUUUAAAAUUCAAGUUCAAAAACAACCUAUUCUAUUUCAAAGGAUGUCUAUAUAUUCCAAAAAAAGAAGCAUGUUUAUAUAUUCUUUAAAAAUAUCAUGACUUUUCAAUAGUCAGAUAUUUUAAAUACAAUAAGACUUUAGAGCUUAUAUUUAGAGAUUUUUAAUAGCCACAUAGAUAAAAGACAAUGAAAGACUUUGUCCAAUCAUGUGACAUUUGUUCAAGGUCAAAAAUUCCUUGUCAUUGAUCCUAUGGACUUCUCUAACCAUUGCCCAUACUCAAACAACUAUUGUAUUCUAUUUCUAUAGAUUUUAUCAUGGAUCUUUUAGUCUUAGGCUUGUAUGAUUCUAUAUUUGUAAUAGCAGAUCAUUUUACCAACAUGGCAUAUUUUGUACCAUAUAUAAAAUCUAUCAUAGGUGAAAAAAAAACUAAGAUUUUUUUUGAAAAUAUCUAUCACUAUCAUGGAUUAUCCAAGGAUAUUAUAUCAGAUAGGGAGACUCAAUUUAUAUCAAGAUUUUAAAGAAUUCUUUUUAAGAUUUUAAAGGUAGAUGUAAAGUUAUCUUCGGCCAUUUAUCUUCAAAUUAUUAGAUAGAUAGAGCAUGUUAAUCAAGUUUUGAAGUAGUAUUUGAAGUGUACCAUCAAUUAUCAAUAAGAAGAUUAGACGACUCUUUUGCUAUUCGCAAAAUUUACCUAUAAUAACAUGAUAUAUUCUUCUACUUAUCAAACAUUUUUUUUUGUUAAUUAUGGUUAUCAUCCAUGACUUGAUACUUUUGAUUUUUCAAGUGUUAAUAAUUUUAUCGCAAAAGAUUUGGCAAAAUGUCUCUUUUUGAAUCAUACAAGACAAUAAACAUAUAAAAAAAAAACAUGUGCUACUUCCUACUAUAAAAGUGAAUAAUGAAGAAUUUGAGGUAGAAGAAGUCUUAGACUCAAAAUGACACAAAAAUAGGUUAGAGUAUCUUAUUUAUUGGCAUAGAUAUGAUAUUAGUGAAAGCACAUGGGAGUGACUAAAGAAUCUUAUAAAUGCAGCAAAGAAAGUAGAAACUUUUUAUUAAUGACAUCCAUCAAAAUCUAGAUAAAAAAUAUUAAAUCUUUGCUAUAAAAGAAAAAAGAUCAAAAAAAUAUAUAUUCUAAUUUUUAUCCUUGUUUAUAGCUUUUAUAUAUAUUAUGGAACUAAAGAAAUAAAGAAUCAACAACCAAUAGAUUCAACUCAAGAGCUAUCAUUUGUUGACUUACCAAAAGAGACAUUACAAUUGUCUCAACCUUCAAAACAAUAUAAUUAAGAUGAAGAUCCUCAAGAAUGACAUAUUCUUUCUUAAAUAGAUAGUGAUACAAUAUGUUUGGUAAAACAACCUUGGAAGGAACUUUUGAUGUUUGGUGAUUUCAUUAGAAAUAGGAACAACUUCUCAUGGUAUUCCAAAUAUUUUAUUUGAAGGAAGUUAUCAUGGCCUAAAUAACAAUCAAAUAACAAGGUGUUCUUCUUGCUUUGAUAUGAGAUAUUAUUAAUGGAUGAAAGGACCUAUCAACCAACUUCAAAAAAAUAAAGAUUAGAAUAUGUGACAAACAUAAUUUGUCGCAUCUUAGAUUUCAUCAAUAUAUGAUGACCGCAUCUUAUGGAACUUGUCUCUAAAAAGAGAAAUAAUAUUAUGAACAUACUAUCACAAACAUACAUAUUUAUUCUAAUAAUUACUUAUAUAAUUAGGUAGAAGUAGAUAAAAAUAAAUAAAUAAAUAAAUAAUCAUAAUAUCUUCUAAAAAAGCUUUUUAACAGAUUUAUAGAUAUGGUUUUGACUUUAUUAGUAUUUAUAGUUGAUUUUUACAUUAGAAAAUUAGUCAACAAAUUAGUCAUGUAUCACACAUGUGGAUAACUCAUGAAACAAAUUAACUAUGUGGCACACAUAUAGAAAACUUGCCUUGCAAGUUAAAACAUAUGGCUUAUAAAGUCAAUAUAUGUUGGAGGUCCUAUAGAACAUUACUACAUAGCUUUUAAGUAGAUAGUAUAUAUAGAGGCAAGAAUGAAGCCUUCUUCACUCUUGUCAACUUCUUUCUUACUUUAGUCUAAAUUUAAGAGUCUUUAGUUUUCUUAUCUUUUGAUAAAAGUCAUUCCAAUUUUUUAUAUAUAUACUUGUUUCCUUACUUCUAUUUUGUCAUACUCCUUUCAAAAAAGUCUCACUUAGUUAUUUGCUUUUAUUGGGUUCUUGUGCUUAACAAAUACCCUCCAAAGAAUCAAUUGUUAUUUCAGGUUGGCAAUAAAGUAUGGUUGUUGCAACAUAAUAUAAAAACUACUUGAUCAUUUAAUAUAUUGGACUUCUAAAGUUUAGGACCAUUUCAUAUUAAAAUGACAAAUAACUUUAUUGCUUAUGGAUUAGAAUUAUCAUCAUCUAUAAAGUUAUAUUUUAUAUUUUAUACCUCUCUUUUAAAACCUUAUAAGGAAUUAAAUAUAGAAAGAAGAGUACAAAUACCACUACCUUAUAUUACAAUAAAUAACCAUAAAAAAUUUGAAAUAGAAGAAAUAAUUGAAUCAAAACUAAGGCCAAAAUAAUUAAAAUAUUAUAUACAUUGGCAUGGUUACAACAAUAGUGAGUGUACAUGAGAGCCAAAUUUAAAUUUAAUAAAUAUACUAUAAAAGAUAUAAAUUUUUUAUCAACAUCUUUUUAGACCUAAAUUAGUAAUACAAUUUAAGUAAUAUUUCUACCUAAUAUAUCUAAAUAUAUUAUAUUUUAUAUUUUAUAAAAUAUUUUUAUAAAAAGAAAAGGAGCCAUUGCAUAAAUUUUUAGAAAUUCAAACCUCAUAUUAACUAAAAAAUCCAAAAUUAGUUCUAUUUCAUUUUUAAAUUAUUUUAAAUCUUUGAUUUAGCUUAGAUAAUUAAAUAUAGAUAGUUAAGAAGAUAAUAUCAUGUUAAUUAAGCCAUUUCAAUUAAGCAUUUGAUAUUAUCUACUAUAAUUAUCAUUUUACUUAUUCUACAAAUUUCUUUCAGAAUAAACCUAUAGAUGGGAUUCGAACAUAGGAAAAGACUAACCACAUGAGCUUACACAUUAAGGUCACACAAUUAACCGUAUUCCAAAUCACAAAAAUAUCAAAGAACACUACAAUGCCUUCUCCCAUUAACAAUAGUCUUUCACCAAUUGAUAACAACAAUAAUGUGUAAUUGUGCACUCUCAAAAGACCAUUCAAAACACAUAAAUUCCAUCCAAUAUUGGAAAUAAUAGACUUCUAUUCCAACCAAUUUGGCUUUAUACAAUUUUUGUAAUCACAAACUUCUUCUUUCAAAACAUACACAACUCUCAAAAAACAACAAUCAUAAUCUUUCAUCCAUGAACAAUCUUCCACAGAAUCUGAUAACAAACUUCCAAUAUCUUCUCAUAAUAAUUCAAUCACACAAUAUUCUAAUUACAUAUUCAAUAUCUUAUAAAUCAAUCUCUGAUUUAUUCCACAGAUUCACUUUACAAUAAUCAAAACCUAAAACAACAAAAUAAACAAGAAACAAGAGAUAGCACCAAGCUUAUCCUAGCUCAUGACUAUCACAGUCUGGCCCCUCCAAUAUCUUCUUCAAUUGCUAUAUACUUACCUCUAAAAUUCUAGAUUCUAAUUUUCAUUCCCUACUUAACCAUUUUUCACAACUAAUUCAAUCAUCCGACCUAUUGAAUUGAGUAUCCUAAGAAUGAUUAAUCUACUUUACCAAUAUCUUACAAAAACGAAUUUCUACCCAUUCUACAUCUACCUAAAGAAGAAGAAUCACUUGAAUUAAGAAGACAUUGAAGAGUACCUAUUAGCUACUUUAUAGCGAUUGUCAUCAAAGCAGAAACUAUUUGUGAAGGAAAUCUUAAAGCAAUUUUUGAAAGACAUAUAAAUUUAAGCUUGAUCUAUAUUAGAAGACAUUGAUUACUAUCAUUAGUUACAAAGACAAAUGAAACUUUUGACUUUAAAAAGAUAACUUUAGUAUAUUUAAUAAUUUUAGAAGAUUCAUAGAAGCUUGCUUCACCUCCCAACAUCAAAAAAACCUAUCAAGGAGCUUUCUUGCACCUAAAAUAUAUAAGAAUUGAGGUUGAAGAGAUCCUUAGUUUUAAUAAUGUAAUCUUUGUGGUUCAACUUAAGCCUCAUAGUCUUGUUCUUGUGUUCAUGUUUGUAAUAUAAAGAGAAUAUCUUUUGUUUCAUUUCCUUCAACUCUAAAAGUCUUAUCAUGUUUGAGUGGUGUGUCCAAAACACCACCAACUUUGUGGUUCUUUCACAUAUUACAUAUAUAUAUAUAAAUUGAAAUCUUACCUUUAUUUUUAGCAAAAUUAUUUUAUUAUUUUCAUGACUGAAAUAUAUUUUGAUAUUUUUCUAUUUUGGACUUUAAAAACCACCACAUAGUUAUAUAUAUUUUUAAAAAAUCAGCUAGUGAUACCAACAUUAUCCAGAAAACUCAAAUUUUUAUGUAAAAUAGUAAAAAUAAUCAUAAGUGCCAAAGAAAUAAUAUUAAGACACCAAGUAUUGUGUGAUUCAAUUGCAAAUGGUUGACUAUGAAAUAAUUUCAUUUUUUCAUAACAUUAUUUUGACUAUGUUGUUAAAAACAUUAAAAAUUCACCCUGCAUCAUGCUCAAUGUUGAUAGAUCUACUCACCUAUGUCCAAAUCAUUAUUUUGGAUGCUUUUGCAUUUGUACUGAAUAGAGGUCCUUUCAACAGGCUAUUCAGAAUUUUCAAGUAACAUAUUUUUUUAUUAUUUGACUUUGAGCAUUAAUAACUUGAACUUUAUUUUAUGAAGACAUCAUAUUAUUACAUUGAUCUUUCUAAUAAAUCAUUGUUUUUUCAUUAAUUUCAAAUUUUCAUGUUAAAAGAACAUAAAUCUUCCAUAAUAUGAUGAAGAUGUAAUUCCUUAAUUGCACAUAUAUGUGUACACCAGUUUUUUUUUCACUUCCUAUUAUAUAUUUUUAACAAUUUUAUUUUAGUGAAUAAAAUAUUUUUUUAAGUAAUUGCAUAAUUUACAUCUGAAAAAUAAAAGCAUCAAUAUAAUUAUUAUUAUUCCUUUGUUAAAAAAAUUAACAAAUGUAUAAAAUUUAAAAAGUUGUGUUACUAUGGGAAAUAAUACACAUCUCUUAUACAGUUCCUGACCCGUCUUCCUUAAAUAAAUAUUAAGUGAGCAUUCAAAAUCUAUAGAUUCUUUGCAUGCCAUUUGCAAACCAUAUAUUUUUCAACCUAUCUUAAUUUUGUAAUAGAUGGGCAUAAAUCUUCAAAAAUCCAUUACUUUUUAUUUCAUCAAUAUCUCAUUUUAAGUUGUAUUUAAUAUUUUGUGCAAUAAUAUUGCCUACAUCAGAGUAUACACAAUUUUCCAGUGUUAAUUGAACAUUAACUAAUAAUUUGAUAGUUUUUAUAUGUUUUAUGCAGCUAUUUACAAGUCAUAUGUUAUUCUCUAAAAUUAAAAAUUCGAAGUUGGGUUUAAUAAAAAAUUUUCCACACCUCCUACAGUAUGUCUUUUUAUUCUAAAUAAAAUCAAAUAUAACAUCAAAUGUAUCAUCAGAAUCUCAUUUUUAAUUCCAAAAUUAUUUUGAAAUAAUCACAUUAAUAUCUGCUGCUCAAUAAACAAUUAAGUUUCAUAAUGCAUUGUAUGAUUUUAAAUUAUAUAUUUCAGUCCUAUUUUAUCUUCAAAGUACAUAGUGAAUCCUUCAUUGCCUUGUUAUAUUUGGGAACAGCUUGUUGUUAUUUCUAUGAUUUCAUUUAUUCUUACAACAUACCAUUUUUGUUUUUGUUUUGUUUUGUUUUUUUUUUGUUUUUUUGUUUUUUUUUUUUUUCCUACUAGUAAUUUUUUUCUACUAAUAAUUUUUUUCCGCAUGUUAUGCAUUUGUAACAUGUCGAUGUUUUCAUGAAUUUUCAAUUAGAUUACUUCAAUUUAUAGUUUUAAAAAUUGAGGUUUCAUGGAGGCCAUCUCGGUGAUGGAGAAGAUUGCUCCACCUCUCCCAACGCCUCUACGUUCCGCUAAAAUUAGGUCGGCCCAAACCUGCAGAUAACUUCGCGGCGAAUUUAGUAAGCAUUUGUUAAUCCAAUGCGACGCGCCUCGUUUCCUGUCUCCGAAGUGAUGCCACACUCCGACGCUAACUCAUGCGAUGGAGCUCGAAGCUUCCAGCCUUGCAUUGUGUCCAUGGUCAAUUCGAACACGCAGCUGCAGCUGCCCCGGAGCGAUGCAAGGUCCUGGAAUAGUUGCGAUUGUGCAGGAGUAGUCUGGGCAGUGUCCGCGUCGUCGCGGGUCAAUCAGCAGCGAUAAAAAUAAAUAACAUAACAUAACAUAACAUAACAAAAUGGGGUGUUCGUGGUUAAUGCUGGUGAGAACAAGGCUUUUCAGGGAGAUGGGUCGCAAGCAACGAAGAUACACCUAAAUUUUGUAAAUUACCCAAUUCUAGUUUUCGAGGUGUCUCUGAAUUAGGUGUAGAAUUGGCGGGUUUUAGGGUUUAAGAGUUCUGCACAUGAAGCUUUACAUGCAGGGAAUUAACCACUUCGACGCUCGCAAGCCCUUGGUAAUCUUUCCACAUUCUUAAAUUUCUCAGUUGACUCGGUUUUAAUGAGGCAGUGAGAUUGAGACAGUGACGAUGUUGAAGAAGAGGAGCUGCAAAAUGAGCAAUGUAUGUGAUAAGCUAGGACAAGUUUUUUCCACGGAGCGAGUGAGGCCUGAUUAGUGGUGGAUUCUCAUUCCUAAUCUGGAGUGGAAUAAAACAAGGCCGUAGUUCAUUAGUUUUUCUUCAGGUUCUGUGUUUGCUACUCUAAAUUGGCUGGUAAUUGUGAUAGGAAUCCGCCCUUUCUCAAACUUGUGAUGGAUAUGUGAUGGUUCUGUUUGAGUCUGAGUUAUGCUAGCGGCUGAUGUUUCAGUCGGACAAAGUUAUGCAGAAUCAUAAAACAGCUCUUCUCAAGAGCUGGGUGCUAUUGCAACACGCCAGGAAGAGGAGUUCACUGGACAUUUUUCCAACACUUUCAUGCACAAUCACUGAUGCUAACCAAAAAUAUGAGGUAGAAGAUAACGUGCGAGCACAUGUAGCUUCUAUUGUUUUCCUUCUCGUGUUUCUGAAUCAUUUCUGGGUCAUAUUUUCUUUGAGUCGUGAUUAGUGCUCUACUGUGAGUAACUAUAUUGAGAUGCUUCAUCUGCAUGGCUAAAUGUUUUAGUACUGAGAACUCGCAACCAAACGCUUUGACACAGAACUCGCACCAACAGCAUCAAGGAUUCUCUCAUAUCUGUCGAAGCACAAGACCGCAUUUGAAGAGUGUUAAUCCAUAGAAGAAGCUAGAAUGAAAUGUGACGAUACCUUAUACGCCUAUUCUUCAGAAGAAGAAGAAACAGCGUUAGUUAAUGUUAAACUUGGGAAGAACAAGCAGUUCAAUUCUACCAUUCUGCCUUCACUGACGAAGGUUUGAGCUGUUGAAACCGUAUAUUAAACUUAAGACAUAUUAAUUUGUGAAUAAGUUAAAACCGUAUAUUAAACUUAUUCACAAAUUAUUACACAUUGAGUCCUAUUUAGUCUACAUAUUGAGAUGUUAUUUUAAGUGCAAUAACUAAACGGCACUCAUACUAGUGUUAUCUGGAGUGAGGUGGCAUGCUGACGUACUUGUUCAUGCUGAUGUCAUUAGUCAUGAGCACAUCAUUACCGUGCAUUAUUUCCAACACUUCUUCUCACAUUAUAUUCAAUAAAAUAGUACCCACAAGUAACUAUGUCAAAGUGUAGGUUGCUACCAACUAAAUUAUCACUCAAACUAAAGUCCCAAACGUAACACUUGAAUGGGGUAGGAUUUCAAUUGCUCUAUCACUUUUGUAGUUAAGUUUAAGUAAUUUUUAGCUAUAAUGAUUCCUUUUCUAAUUCAUAUAUAAUAGAAGAUUCUUUUAUUGGAGAUUUGGUUCUUUGCUUCAUUGCUCCGUUGUUUCUAUGAUUGGAUUUUGUGCAACUCUAAGAAGUGGCUUGUUGAAUCAUUGAAUCAAUUCCAUUCUUAUGAUGACAUAGAUGAUGAUGAUGUAUUUGGUGAAGACGCUCAAAGGUUAGGAUUUAUUGUUUUUGACUUAGGAUUAUCAGAGUCUAAGUCACAUGUAUUAUGAAAUGCAUAAGUUCAAGUGUUUUCAAUUUAUGUCAAGCUUGUUCUUUCUCAUACUAUAUUACUAGUGGGUCGUCAAAAGAAAAAAACUAAUAGGACCAAGUUUGCUUGAUUUGUUUGAAUAUUCAAUUAAUUUUUGAGCUAAGAAGUACUAUGAUGUUUGAAAGGGCUUAUUGCCUAGAUUAUAUACGACUUGAGAUAAAUGUGAGCAUUAUGUAAAAGAUUAUAGUGGAGUUUUUUUUGGAAGCUUCAAAACCUAAGAAGAAUUGAUCAAUUUUUUUGGAAUUUAGUUUGCAAUAAGAAUAUGCGUGUUAGAUUGUAGCAACAAAUUCUAAAUCUUAUUAGGGUAGUUUUAUGUUAUAGGUAGUUAUAAAGGUUUGAUGCCUAUAGUUUCUUUUAUAUAUGCAUAAAGGAAUGCAUCAAGAGAUUUUCUUAGAGUAUUAACUUUGUUUUGUAGUAUAGAUAUGUAGUCAACAAUAAAGUCAUUAUUUUGGCUUUGCUCUCUAAUAAAAUGAUAUUGGAUUCCUAUAUAUUUUUUUAAGUAUGAAAAGUCAGGUUAUUUACAAACUUGAUAUAACUUUGAUUGUCAUUGAAAAUGUAAGUUAGUUUCAUAUCAUUGAUGUGAAAUUUGUGCAAUACUUGCUAAAGGUGGAUGACAUCUUUUGCUACCUUAGUAAGCACUGAAUACUCAGCUUUAGUAGUAGAGAGAGCUACUUUAGAUUGACAUUUUUUUGACCAAUCAAUAGAUGAAUAUCCAACUUUCUGUAGUAUUUAUGAUAUUUGUUGUUUGGAAUCUAAGCAUCUAUCAUAGUCAACAUCCAUAUAUAUAUCACUAGAAUUGUCUCACUAAUACAAAGAAAAUAGAUUCUAUAGUUUGAGGUACCUUUUAGAUAUCUCAAUAUUUAUUUGACAACUAUCAAGUGUAAUUGUUAUAGAUUAUGUACAUAGUAACUUAAAUAGUAUCACUUUUAGAGAUUAGUAUUAUAUAAAAAAGUCCAUUGAUUAAUAAUUAAUAAUGUUAUUCAUUUGUAGUAGCUACUUCCAUUUCUUCUUGCAGUCUUGUAUUUAGACAUAUAAGUAUGAUAACAAAAUUAUAAUAUAUCAUGUCAAACUUAAUUAGUAGUUUUUUUUUAUCAAAUUAUUGAUAAAUAUAGAUUCCAAAGUUAUUACAAAUAAUUUUUAUAUUAAGAUAAAGUCAAAUUUCUCCAAGUUCUAUCAUUUCAAAGAUAGUAAGAAGGUUUAUAAUGAGUUGUUAAAUAUUGAAGUGAUUUUUUUCAAUAACAAUUAAAUCAUCAACAUAUAGAAGAAUCAUAAUAGUUUUUCCAACUAAAAUAGAUAGGUAGAGAUUGAUAUUGGAAAUACUAUGCUUGAAACCAAUAUUAUAAAAAUAUUUAUUAACAUGUCCAUAUCAAGUAUAUAGAGUUUGUUUUAGACUAUAUAGAGCCUUUUCAAGUUUAUAGAUCUUUCUUUUGAUUCUAGGUUUUUUAAAACCAAUGGAAAUCUCCAUAUGGAUAUCUUCCUUGAGCUUGCAAUUGAAAAAAACAGUCUUGGCAUCAAGUUGGUUGAGUUACCAAAAAAUUUAUCUUGCUGAUACUAAGAUAGUGCAUAUUAUGCUCUAUCAAAUAAUUGGUGUGUAUGUAUUGAAGUAGUUUAUAUUGUGAAUUUGUUCAAAUCCAUAGGCUAUAAUAUAAGGCUUUAAUAAAGGUGAUUGUCCAUUAACACCCUAUUUUAUUUUAUAUAUCUACUUUGCAUUGAUUGAUUUUUUUUUCUAUGAAAAAAUCUACAAUGUACCAAGUCUAAUUUUUGUAAAUAGAAUUCACUUUGCUUUGCAUGGUUUCUUGCCAACCAAUGUAGAUGUUGGCUUCAACAUAAGUUAGAAGUAUAAUAUUUACUUUGGCAAAUUGAAUAUAAUAGUUUUUAAAUUAAAAAGAUGAAUUAUAAUCUCAAAUUGGAUAUUGAUAUCUUAGAGGUGAAUUUAGUGUAGUCUACACUAAAGUGGUAGGUGUAAAGUUAUUUUCUAAGUUUUUAAUAGAUGUCAGUAAAGAAGGUGAAUUAAGGUAUUCAAGAUCCCAUGAAAGAUUUUUCUAGUAGUUGAUCCUCAUCUUUGAUAAUAGAUACAAUAGGAGUAGUAGAAAGAAGCAAUAAUAUGGCAUCAAGUAUAUCUAGAGUUUUUAAGUGAAUCAUCUCUAAUUUGAUUUUAUUAAAUAUUACAUCUUAAAUAACAAAAAUGUUUUGUGAAUUGGAUUCAAAUACUAAGUAUGCCUUAGAAUGUAAGUCAUAUUCCAUCAUGAGGCAUUUGAUGGUUUUAUUAUUGAGAUUUUUUCUAUUUAUUUUUUAUACAUAUAUGUAUGCAAGGAAAACAAAGGUACACUAACAAAGGUACAAUGACUCUAAAAGAAUGAUACAAUAAGCACAAAUUUUAUAAAAGUAAUCUAUAUACCUUUGCUUGUCUUGCAUAUAUGCAUGUAUCAAAACAAAAUAGAAAAAAUCUCAAUAAUAAAACCAUCAAAUGCCUCAUGAUGGAAUAUGACUUACAUUCUAAGACAUACUUAUAUGUUUCAUUCAAUUCACAGAACAUUAUUGUUUAUUAUGAUCUAAGAACUUGUAAUUCCAUUAGCGAAUGAUUACAUUAAUUUUUUAUUAAUUUUUUUUUUUUUUUUGGAAUAUUUUCCAAUAUUUGAAAAACCAAAAAUAGAAAAAAAUUUUCCAAUAAAUAAAACACAAAAAAAUGCCUCCAUGAAUGGGAAUAUGACUUACAUUCCUUAGACAUACAUAUAUGUAUCAAAAAAAUGAAAGAAGAUUAUAAGAUAUGAUCUUCUAUGAACUUGUGAAGCAUGCAUUGGAAGAAGUUAUAAGAUAUGAUCUUCUAUGUCUACAUGUUUUCUUCUCAACUACUUCUAUUUAGUCUUAUCUAUUUUUUUUAUUUUUUAUGUUAUUCUUGAUAUAGUUAAUUGUUAUACUUUUGCAAAGUAAUUAUAUUACAAGUAUAUAUUUUUCUUACAAAGAUUUCUAAGGUUUUGUCUUUUUUUUUCAAAAGAUUUUCUUAUUUUUAUAAACAUAAUUUUUUUGUAAUACUUACAAUGUAAUAUCAAAUAAAGACUAUUUUAAAGAAAAAUAUAUAAAUAGAUUUAUUUGAAACAUAAUAAAAAACUAAUCAAUUUGUUUAUGAGAAUUAGAAGUCAUGAUGAGAUUGUUAAAGAUUGUUACCUUCAAUAAGCUAGAUUAACCAAGGUUUCAUUUGAAUUAAAGUAUAUACUAUAGUGAUUAUAGUGAUCAUAGUUUAUCUAUAUUGUUGUCAUGUUUAGUAUGUGUUUGUUGCAUGCAUCUAUCUUUAUUUUCAUUAAAAGUGAUCAUGACAUGUCAAGUAUAAGGAUUUUGCGUAUAUCUAUGUGAUUAGACUCUCUUUUGGUUUUACCAAGGAUAAUGUUCUUGCAAUCUUUGCCUAGUGAGUAUUCUCUUACAAUUCAUAUUAUUGUUGAGUUCAAAAUAAACUGGCUUGGGUUGCCUUUUGAAUGAGUUGAAGUUUGAAAAUUUUGAAAUAUCUAUGGUAUGAUUGUACAUUUAAGAAGUAUGUUCUAAACCUUCAAAAAUAGUUUAUUUAAUAGCAUUAUUAUUACAAAAUUUGUGUGUUAGAAAUUCAUUAGUUACUAAUGUGUUUUAAUUGUGGUAUUGCAAAUCUAUAUUAUUGAUAUCAAUGUCUAAGAUAAAUUUUGGUUCUUAUUUAUUCUUUCUCUUUGUUUUUUUAGCAUUUUUUUUUUAUUAUUAUUUUGUUAGGAUUUUUAUUAAUAAGGUUGCAAUUUAGGAGCAUAUAGGCCGAGCUGAUGUAGAGUAGCAACAUACAUCCAGAGGUGUGCUACAUUGAGUGGAAUUUGAAGGCCCUAAACCACAAUGACAAAGAGAAGUUGAUUUAGUAUUUAGUAUUAUUUUUGCUUUGUUAGGACUAAUCAAUAGAUCAAUCAAUAGACAUGUAGAAUUUUGAAGGAGGAUUUGGAAGAAGCUUAAAUAGGAUUGAAGUAGAAGGGGUUGGAUUAGUAUACAACAAAGAUAUGUGUGUAGGUGGGUGCACUAGAGAGGUGCAGGUGAUUGGCUUGAGGCUGAGAAGUGUAGUUACAUUUUGAAAUCAUAACAUAUGUUUUUUUGUACACAUCCUGAAGUUAGAACUCUUCUAUAGGUGAUUAAUCUAAAUUCUGCAAAUUUCUAUAGUAAAUUGUCAACAAUGAGACAAAUAUCUUGGUACAGAAAUGCAAUCUGGACUUUUCAUUUUGCUAACAAACUUGGUUUGUGCAAGUAGAAGCUGUGAACUGCAUUGUGAUCAAAAUUAAAAUGCACCACAAAAUUUAGACAAACCAAUGAUGCAACUAAGUGAGAGCAUUGAUGAAACAAUAAUCCUGUUUCUAGCAUUGUCUUAAUUUUUUUUCUUUAAGUGAUACUUCUAGGCAUAUUGCAAUAUUUUACCUACUUUCUUACAGCAAAUGGAAAAAGAUGUAGUGUAUUGCACACUACAAAAAGUUUUGAAACUUUCCAUGCAAUGUUACACUGUGAAGAAUAUUUUGAACAUCUCUUGAUUUUGUUUAGUUUCAUGUAUCUUUGUAGUAUCUGUUUAGUAGUUAACGAUGAAUCAAGAACCUAGACUAAAUGAAAUAUACUGUGAAAUUGUGAUAAUGAAUUGUGAUAAUAAAUGACAACAACUCAAAAAUUUACAUUUAUGUGUGUGUAUGUUAAAUCAAUUAAAGAUGUCAUUUAUUUGUAACAAAUUAAGUAAAUAAAUAUAUUUUUAAAAAUAAAAUAUAUACAUGAUAAUAAAUACAAAUUAUUAAAAUUUAAAAUUUAUUUGAGUUUGAGAUAAAAAUCAAAUUCUUCUCCUGAUGCCAUGUGAAAUUGUCAUUGAUGCAUGAAAAUUGGGAAACAUUUAUCAUACAUCAUGUGGUUGGUAUUCUAUAUAAUUGAUAAAGUUAAUACUUAAAUAUCAAAUACUUAAAUUUAUGAAAUGAUGGAAUUUCUUUGCAAGAAUUAUAAAUGUAUAUUAUGUAUCAAAUAUGAAAAAUUAAAUGUUUGUGAUAUUUUCUAAAAUAUCAUACAGUAUUUUCAUAUAUAGGUUUGAAAACCUAUUGUAAAAUCAACACGUAUCUAAAUCAGUUUGAUAUGCUUAAAAAGUCUAAUUCCUGAAAUUUAAUUUUAAAAUGUUUUCAUUUUCAAAAAAAAUAAUAUACAAGUGAAUACUUCCGUGUUUCUGAUAGAAAAAAAUCUAUCUUAUUGAUGCCAACAAUGAAAGAAAUAAAAUGAGUUGUUAAUAAUUAACAUAUUUUUAGAUCAUCAAUAAUAACAUGUUAUUUAUUGACAAUAUGUAAACAAACAAAUAAAGCAGAUUGGAUUGUUUUACAUGUGCAGUUAAUUGUAUGUUAAGCUCAUGACCUGAUUUGUAAAAGGUAAAUUUUCUCCUAUAAUAUUUCCUCAAUCUACCAAUUUUUUUUGUUUCUAGACUUUGUUAUUAUGUUAAUGUAGAAUUAGUUUUGAAGAACCUGUUCAAAAUUUUCCUACUAACGUGCAAGGUAAAAUGCUUAAGAAGUUGAGAUAUCAACAAACUGUAUUUUCUGGAAAUCAGUGUUAGAAAUCCGUGACAAUGGUUCAAGUUCAACUAGUCAUAUAUUAAACUUACCCACAAAGUGUUACACAUUAAGACCUAUUUAGUCUACAUCUAGAUGUUAUUUUAAGUACAAUAAUUGAACGGCACUGAUAUUAGUGCUGCUCAGUUAUCUAGAGUGAAGUGGCAAAGUGUCUGUAACUUAAAUCUGCACUAUCCAUGCACAAAAUCCAGAUUUUCAUUACUGUGCAGAAAACCUCAUGGCAUAGACAUUUUAUUUUAAUAGUUGAUGUGGAGGAAAUCAAGUAAAAGGAGCUUAUUUUGUCAAUACAUAUCCAAACUUUUCAAGUUCAGAAUGUAACUUUUGACCCAAAUGCUAUUUAGAAUGCACAUUGAAAGGUACUGGCUCAACAAAAGGACUCACUUGAUCGCUUUCAUCAGGUUUUCAAACAAAUGCCAAAAGAUUUUUCAUAGAGGUGGUAGCUAAUAUUGAACAAAUUUUAUGAAAAAUGCAUGACAAUUAUUUCUCAAAUAAAUCACAAUUUUAUAUUAUUUUUAAACUGUAGAGAUGAUUAAGAAAUAGAAUUCUAAACCGUCACUUCAAUUAUACAAAAUUUAAAUUAUAUCUUGGAACAAGCAAUAAGAUCACAGACUGUAAAAGACUUGCAUAGGUGAAAAUAAAACAUAGGAAUAAUACAAAGAGGAAAAUAUGGCCUUGCAAGCAGUUUGCAAAUGAGUUUCUAGGGCUCCAAAGCAAAGCAAGUACAAUUGGACACUACAAUUUGUCAAAAAAACAAAAAAAACAAAACAAAAAAAUCAUACUAGAUCAAGACGGGUACAAAGAGAAGAAAUCAAAGCCAUGAUGCUCAUGUUAUAUUUUGAAUUUGGUCAAGACUGAUUCUGGAUUAUUUGGUACAAAAGUAUAGAAACAAAGUAUCCAGAAUAUCCAAAGUAUUGAAGCAAAUAAAUGAAAUUUUUACAAUAGAAAAUUUUUAAAUAAUUUUUUUUAAUGAAAUUAAAUAUACAUAACUAUAAAAAAAAGUCUUGGAAUGCAAUGGAAUAGGCAAUGAAUUCUUUAAAAAUAUUUGAGAUGUAAUUAGUAAAACAUUAUUUCAAUAUGUUCAAUGUUGCAACCUUAAAAGAAAAACUUCUUUCAUGAAUUGCAAAGCCCAAACGAAUGUAAUGUUUAUGACCACAAUAGACUGCCGGCAUGUAGGGGGUGAAUUCCAUUUAAUAUUUAUUUCAUCUCCAAAUUUUAUAACUUUGUUGACCAUCUACAUUCUAUCAUAUCUUUCUAAGAAUGUAGCAUUCGAUUAUGGUUUUGUCUUUAUUUUAUUAGUUUGCAUCUUUUUGUAGAAUUUUAUAAUAUUCAUAUAAUCUUCAUCAAAUAUAAUAUAAAGUUUUACUAUGUAUUUUUUUAUUUAUUUAUUGUUAAAACCAAACAAUUCAUGAAUAUACUCAUGUAAAGAAUGACUAUAAUACUUAAUUUUUUAAAAUUUUAGAUGAAAUUGUUUAGCUAAAGAAUUGGAUUUUAAGUCAGGAUAGUCCAAAUAAUCCAUAUUUAUGAACUUGUUACCAAUUGUUUUUUUUCAAGUGAGAUGGGUUAUCUCUGUGUUUUCCUUGUUUGUAAACAUGUCUACAAUCUAUGUAUUACAUAUUCUUUGGCUUGAUGGAAACACAUGUAACAAUGAAGUGAUACAUAUGUAUUAUUUAAUUAUAUUCAUUUACGUACAGCUAUUUGUUUUAGUUCCAAAUCCAUAUAAGCAUGGCUCUUAUUUUGAAUGCUCAUAAUUAAUUGAAUGCUGCUGUUCCAUCUAGUCUAGACAUUCGUUGAGAUGUGCUAAAAGAGCAAUUCAAAGACGUAGAAUAACUUACGCCCAUUGAGUUUUCAUUCUUAUUCCAGGGACGUUACUUUGAAAACCCAAUGUAAAGGCAGAUGUCUCAUAACCAAAACAAAUCUCGUCCAAUAUAUCGUGGAAUUUUUUUCUGAGUAAACUUCCUCCCUGCAUCUGUUGCAACAGUGACAAAACGGUACCGCCGCCGUUGUUCACCAGCUUCUGAUCGCCAUUCCAUUCGAUCUAGAGCUGCUUCAACGUCAGCAACAAGAAAAAGUUUUCAACUGUUCAACAAUAUGAAACUUUUACAAGUGACAGAACUAGCUACAAGUAACAAUGGUGUACCUCCAACAUGAGGGCGGCGACAAUAAUAUCAGUAGAUAAGGACCCACCUAUUGAUGAGGCGGCUAACGACGUAUUAGCCAGUCCAACUCACAUCUACUUCUUAUGUGGAGUAAACAAAAGGGUUUCAGUGUAUGAAUCUCCAAGAGUUUGGAAACCCACGUGCUUUGCUAAUGGACGCCUUAGUCAGUGAAGAGUCCAUGCUCAUUGACGAGUUUGAGUAGAAUAUUGGUGAAUCAUGCUCUGAAAUUCCUUACUGUUGAUUCACACUCGAAAGCAGAAGAAGUUGUCUUGCAAAGAGAACCUUGACUAUGGGAGCAACAAGAUAGAUUGGUUAUUUCUCGACUAGUGUUUGAAAUAGAUCGCAUCCCACUUGAACUUGGAAGAGUUCGACCAGAACACACCUGCAAUUUCGACACCAUGGAAUCGGACGCAAGCAAGUGUAGAGACCACACCAUGCCCGGCGAUGGCGACUCUUUGAACUGGGCUUGCGCUGCAGAGGCAAUGAAAUGUUGUCAUCUUGACGAGGUGAAGAGUUACAUGAAAACGUAUUACAAAUCUGCCCAAAUUGUCGUUGAGGGCAAGGAUUUAACCGUAGCGCAUGUUGCAGCCAUCGCCCGCCGACCCGAGGUCCUCUUCAAGAUGAACUCCAAGGUUGCGAAGAGCAAAGUGGACGAAUGCUGUGACUGGCUGGACCGAAAGAUAGAAGAGGGAAGAAGCAUCCCUGGUGUGACCACCGGUUUCGGUGCAGCCUCUGCUCAGCGUACCAAUCAAACCAGGGAGCUUCAAGAGGAACUAAUAAGGUCAGUGUCUACAAGCUCGCAUCCACAGCAAGAAGCAGCAGGCACAAUCUUAUUCUCUUCUUUGACUGAACUGGGUGGUUAAAUUCUCUUGCAGGUUCUUGAAUGCGGGAGUAAUUGAAGAGGGCAACAAGCUCGCAGUGAGCACGACGCGGGCGGCCAUCCUUGUUCGCAUCAACACCCUCAUGCAGGGGUACUCUGGCAUUCGAUGGGAGACUCUCGAAGCGAUGGGCAAGCUCCUCAAUUCCCAUGUCACUCCAGAGCUGCCGCUUCGCGGCACCAUCACAGCCUCCGGAGAUCUCAUGCCCUUGUCCUACAUCGCUGGUUCGGACAAUCACUUCUCAUUUAUCCCUCGCUUGCUGGAUACCAUUAGCACAGUCUGCGGUAUUUAUCUCAUUUUGCAAGAGCUCAAAUGCAAAACUGUAAUUCAUGUGCCACAGGUCUGCUCAUAGCGCGCCCCAACUCCAAGGCCGUGACGAAAGAGGAAAAGACAAUCUCUGCGGUGGAAGCUCUGAAGCUGGCAGGGAUUGACAAGCCACUGGAGUUAGAGCCCAAGGAGGGCUUGGCCCUGGUGAAUGGCACUACAGUAGGAUCUGCCUUGGCAUCCACCGUCUGCUUCGACGCCAACAUUCUUGUAGUUAUGGCAGAGGUGCUCUCUGCACUUUUCAGUGAAGUGAUGCUUGGAAAGUUAGAAUACACAGACCCUCUUACUCACAAGCUCAAGCAUCACCCAGGCCAAAUGGAGGCAGCAUCAAUAAUGAAAUGGGUUCUUGACGGGAGCUCAUACAUGAAGACGGCCGCCAAAUUUCACGCACCCGAUCCGUUGAAGAAGCCCAAACACGAUCGUUAUGCUCUUCGCACUUCACCCCAAUGGCUUGGCCCUCAGGUACACUACAUAUUAACUAAUGUCGCUUGGUAGCACCACAACAGCAAACCAGGGAAUUUCUGUGUGCCAAAAGUUCCGAGCGAUCCGGAAUUGUCUCCUGUUUUGAGAUACGCAAGAAGCUUUGGAAGAUAUAAUCUGUUGCCAAACAUUAAUGCCUGGCUCGACGUAACAGGUGGAAGUAAUUCGCAAUGCGACUCAUUCCAUUCAGAGGGAGAUAAAUUCCGUGAAUGACAAUCCGCUAAUUGAUAUGGCAGAAGAUAGAGCAAUCAGUGGGGGCAAUUUCCAGGGCACUCCAAUUGGGGUGUCCAUGGACAACCUGCGUCUCGCCAUCGCUGCCAUCGGCAAGCUAAUGUUUGCCCAGAACUCUGAGCUUGUCAACGAGUACUACAACGCCGGGCUCCCAUCUAACCUAAGCGGCGGACCGAACCCCAGCCUUGACUACGGUCUCAAGGGCGCUGAAAUCGCGAUGGCCUCGUAUCUCUCUGAGCUAAACCACUUAGCGAAUCCGGUCACCACCCAUGUCCAAAGUGCUGAGGGUCACAAUCAGGACGUGAACUCUCUUGGAUUCAUAUCCGCGCGCAAGACCGAGGAAGCGAUAGUGGUCCUGAAGCUUAUGAGCGCCACGUAUCUGCUUGGCCUUUGCCAGGCCAUUGAUCUUCGGCAUCUGGAAGAGACAUUGCAUGAAACCGUGAAAAAUAUUGUGAGACAAGUAGCAAGGAAGAACUUGCUCGAUUAUCCGGCUAGCGUCCCUCAGCUCCUUGAAACCGAUCUGCUACGAGUUGUAGAGCAUCAGCCUGUCUUCACCUACAUCGACAAUCCUUCCAGCCAAGCCUACCCUCUCAUGGAAAAGCUUCGAUUGAUGUUACUUCACCAUGCGCUACCAAACUCCGAAAGUGAUGACUCAGUAGGGACAUCUCUGUUUCGAAAGAUAGCCUGCUUCGAAAAAGAGCUGACAACAAGGUUGACGUCGGAGGUUCCGCUUGCUCGAGAAGCUUAUUACAUGGGCGAAAGCAACGUUCAAAAUAGGAUCGAGGAGUGCAGAACAUACCCACUCUACCGUUUCGUCCGCUCUGAUCUUGACACCCAAUUACUCUCUGGACACAGAACGGUAACUCCUGGCGAAGACAUUGCAAAAGUGUACAGGGCCAUUUGUAGCGGUAAACAUGUAGAUCCUCUGCUCCAGUGUUUAGACGGAUGGACCUCUUCCCCUACCUCUCGUAUUAAAUAGUCCGGCAUGCCUAGGUGAAUUUUCAAUCUUGACAGUGGCAUGGAAGAAAGUCCGGAAAAAUAUAGUAUUCAUGAAUGAGCUGUGUGCGAUGCACAGAACCAGACUUCAUAACCAAUCACCAUGACCAGAAUUAAAAGGAGUGAUGAAAUAUCUGAAUAGAUUUCCAUCAGGAUUAAGCCUAGGCACUGUACAAACUCAGCGUGUUGGAGAUAUCCAUGAUUGAUUUGAAUGUUGAAGGUCACGUUGACAAUGAGAGUUGUUAACAGAGCUCUACUGGGAAAAAUUAUCUUACACGCUAGGCAAACAGUUUAUUUACACCAUAUGUCUACUACCGUAAGGGACAGGGCGGUGUAUAAUCGUCUCUAACAUGUUCAAAACGUGAAUAUACGUUGGAAAGCAGUAGUGGCAAUAAGCGCAUGGGAAUUGCAACCUAAGUCGUGAUACACACCUUCUUCACCCUGCCAAUACCACAUUACAACACUUCAGCAACGAAAGCGCGUCGUGAACCAAUUGUAUGUACUAUAUUCACAUGGAAAAUAAAAUGAAUGUCAAGCAAACAAUAGACUAAAGAGUCAUAGUUCAGUUUGGAGAGGCUCUGCGUAGACCACGAGCACAUUACCUCGUUGGGAGUCCGUUGCAUACGGUGCAUGAGAUGAGGUGUAGUGAGGAGCAUCCUCCCCAUGUGGGAACCUUGGCUGAACCUGCUAAGGGAAAAACGUCUGCAGUCGUAAAAAAUGCAUAGGAUACUCAACAAUAAAGAGCACAGUAGACCUCCUAAAUGAUUCGCGAACUGGGAGACUAUUCGGCAGAACAGUGUAGAUUUGAUCCAGCAAGUGGUCAUGAAAAAAUAAAAUAACACGCGAUUACUGUUAGAGAAAAUUAUAGGGAGAGUCCUCUAAUAGAAGAUUAUGGAGUACCUUGUGGUGUACAUCAUCACGAUCCCAAGGAGCUUGAUGCACCUUUGAUAAAUUCAGCUGCAGAUUCCCAGCAUUUGUUAGUCCACAUCUUUUAGAUAAAGAAGACUCACGACUUGAGAUCUCAGCAGCUUUACCCACGAGCAAUGAUCCAUCGAAACAAGACUAAAACAAUAUAUUUCUUUAGAGCUUCCGGUUACGGGUGGUUAAUUACAAAAUUCGAAGAGAGGUUUGCAAGAAACAGAGUGAACGUGCGAAAAUACAUGCCUGCGUUGGACGAUGGUCAACAGCAUCACAAGUACCAUAAGGAGUGCUGUGUCUGAGCUCAUGGGAUGGUAGAGACCCGUUGGAGGGACGCACUUGCUGUACAGCGGGGGAUUCGAGUACCGGUACACUGCGCUGCAGUACUUCAACCACAUUAAGAUGAGGAUUCAGAGCAUCCACGAGAGGAUACCCAAACAACUCCGUCAUCAUGCUACUCAAAACCUCUUUCUACAUUAAUACGUCGUUUUAAGGUCAGAGAGUGUUAGAUGCUCGAAUUUGCUAACAAAUGCUAGGUCUAGAGAGUAUAUGCGGCACUCAUCAAGGUGGAAACACAAAUAGAGUUGUGCACCAACUCUUGACAAAUGAAGAGGCAAGGAGGGUCACCUCACUUAUGGCCCCACCCUGGUUGGGAAUAUUGUGGAAAGUGGCGAAAGGGGCAGUUCGCGAGUUGCAGGCGACGUAGGGAAGGGGGUCAUGACCACGCGAGCUUUUGAAUGCUGUCUGGUCCUGGCACCACGGUGCUUGACCCACGUCCGCUCGCUUCUCCCACUUCGGCAGAUCAUGCAGCGUUGCAUAAGGCGCAUUAGUCGACGACAUAUUGAACCUGUCUCGUCUGUCUUAUCAACCCUGCAACAAACUCCCCAUCCAGUAUCAGAAAGAUCAGCAUCACUCCCCUUCACAUCCAUCACCACCUCAGAGAAAGCCAACACCACAACCACUCGACCAACCUCGACAUCAGCACGCGAAAAACAAUGCAGUCAGAAGACGAAAUGCACCACAGAAAACAGUAAACCCCUACAGAAACCCGCCGGCAGCGGCAGAUCUCCUCCCACAACCUAAACCAACACAACUUCACCACUAAAAACACAUGAAUUACGCAAACAAACACUUCAAGAAGCACGUGCACCAACAAGCGUUACACUCAACACCCUCAGCACAGAAAAGUGAAACGAACCACGACCACUUCAACGAUAGAUGGUGCUUCAACGACUAACCCGCUACGUCUGCUGCACCGAAACGCGACGAUGAGCGGGCAAGACACGCAGGACGCAGUACGAAGAUAUCCAAAUGCGUGAGAAUGCGAUCGAACUGAGGGGUGGGUGAUGAAGGUCCGGUGCUGAAGAAUCGCGCCGCAACUAGAAAAACAGAGCGAGCUCGAGGAUACCAGGCCUGCUCCGCGGAGGCUGAAGUACUCGCUGCCCGCUGAGCCCCGUAUGAACACGACAAUAUAUCUGAUAUGUAUCGUAUCGUAUAUAAUACGUAUUUCGUAUUGCAUUUACGUAUGUGUGAGAACUUUAACGAUAACGGUCUUGUAAACGACCUGCGACCGUGAGUUGACACUUGGCUUGUCUCCCUCAUAAAAUCUAACUUUCAAUAAAAUAAAUUCAAAUUCAAAAAUGAUAAAGCUGUUUUUUAUUAUUAAAUUCUCUUUACUGUUAAGUACACAUUAAUGUUGGUGAAAUUUUAUGAUGUAAACGCACUUAAAUAUUUUGAUUUCUUAGGAAAAUAAAGAAAUGGGAAAUGGCUAUAGUAAUUUUGGACCAACAUGAAUUUAUGUGUUUUGGUUCAUAUAUAUAUAUAUAUAUAUAUAUAUAUAUUUCCAAAGUGCGUAAAUAAUUGGUGAUCAAACUAGUAUGAUUUUGUAAGGAAAAGGAAAAAAAAAACAAACAAACAAACAAAGUGUGUUGUUGAGGACUUCUUUGGGUAAAAGAGAUGAAUCAAUUCCAUGUUGUAACAUAGUUUGAGAUUUUAAAAAAUAUUAAUCAAGGUAUUAUUCAAGGAUUUUAUUUCUUUUACUCUAUAUCAUUUUUUAUUUUUUUAUCAUGUUUAAUGAAUCACCUCAAUAUUUUACAUCGAAUUUAACUACGAUUUGAUUAUUUUUUACAACUAUUUGUUUAAAGAAGUAUGUAUUCCACAAUCUAAAAACAUUUAUUCAUGUAAAAUGAGUAAUCACUACAACAACAAAAUUGUCAUCUUAUUUACUCGUAGUUUAUUUAAAUACUAAACUUCAUGAAAAUGUAAUUAACUUUUCUGUAUUUUUGAAAUAGUCCAAUUGUUAGGUCGAAAGAAAAACAUUAAUUUAUAUUUUGCUUAUUUCCAAUAUGUAUGUGAACAUGUACAUGUAUACACAUAGCUUUGGACACUGAUACCGAAACUGUUGCAAAUCAAUUUGAGUCUACUUCUAUAUAUGAAGACUAUGAUUAAGGGCUAUUGUUCAAUCACUAGAAUUUUACAGGAUAUGUUUCGUAUCUAAUGAAAUACUUCGACUCAAAAAGAGUGGCAUGAAAAACACUGUGAUGAGAAACGUAAUACUCUUCAACAAUGUUUUAAUAUACAUUACUCUCAUAAGAGAUUACUUUAUGUGGUAAGAUCUGAGAAUAUUUGCAAUCAAUAUUACCACUUAAACAAAAAAGUUCACGCUUGACUUUCAAAAUAUUAUCUUCCCUAGUGAUUUUGCGGUGAUUAUUAUUUGCUUCGUAUUUUGAUAUCUCUGUUUCAGUUUGUAAGAGGAAGUUGAAAGGUGAAUUAUUUGCCCAGAAGACCAAAUAUCAACCCUUUCUAAAACACACCAUUAACUCAAAACCUCAUUUAUUGAUAUGUGGAUUAUAAAUAAUAAACACAUUGUAAAUUAACGGUAGCUGUUCAUUUUAGAAUACCCAAGUGCAAAUCUAUCCCGGGAAAGAUGUACGAAAAUUUUCAUGCACAUUCAUAUUCAAAGAAUGUUGAAUAAUAUUUGCUUCCUCCCACAUUAUUUGAUGAAGUAUAGUUCCACAAAAAAAAUAUAUUAUAUUGGCAAGUGUCAUGAGAUAUUUAUAUGGGGCCUCCAAGCUUGUGACUGUUUCUUUUAGAUUAAAAAAAAGGCUGUAUAUUUUCUUUUCUUAUCUCAUGUAUUCGGUUAUCAAUCUUAUUCUUCAAGUCAGAAGUAUAAUGAAUUUGUCUCUUUAUUUAUGACUAAAAGUUUUCGGUUUUAUUGUUGUGAGUUAGUGGUUGGAAACCAUGAAUGUGAAUGUCGCCCUUAAAAUAUAUGAUAAUAAAAUAAUUGUGAUUUUUAAACUAUGUAUCAUGUUCAUUCUUAACCAAAUGGAAAUUGUCUCAUCUUUAGUUUAAGAGUUAGCAUGUUUAUAUCGAAGGAGAAUAAAGUAAUGUUCACAUGAUUUCUUAUUUCUUAUUUACUUAAUUAUUUAUCAUUGCAUUUGGAUUCUGCUUCAUAUAUAUAUAUAUAUAUAUAUAUAUAUAUAUUUGAUCAAUGUUCUUUUUUCUAUCUUUAUUUAUUUGACAGAAAAAUAAGCAUACGCAAUGCAUUAAUGUGGUGGUAAAAGUGCAAAUAUUUAAAUAUCAUAAAAUAAUUCUACAGCAUGCAAUUAUUUAUACAUGGCAUGCAAUCCAAUCACAAGAAAGAAAAUACUACUAACAUGUUACUUUAAUACUCAACUAUUACAUGUUAUUAAUUCUAAACCUGUAUUUAGUUGUCUAAUCACACUACUAUUCAUCAUCUGUAUUAACAGGUUUCUUGAAAUAGUUUAUAGUCAUCCUUGGUGUGAUAAUGAUCAGAAAAAAAUAUCUCCUUAAAAAAAUCUUGUGUAAAGUCUAAAUUUAUAAUUAACAGAUAAUACAGUUCCAUUUGUAUACAACCAGCGUACCAAAUUAAAUUUUACUAACAUUGGCCAAGUAACUCAAAGAAUUAAAAGUGUACUUUUGUGAAAUUCUAAAAGAACAGAAAAGAAAAUUCAAAGGUAAUAAAUCAUUUGAAUAGCAUGUAUUUGUAAUAUAAUCUAUUCUGAGGUAAUACAUUUUUUCCAAAAAUUUUAAAUUUAAGAAUAUGUGGCAACUGAAUUUUAGAAUUUUAAUUGUAAUACAGUUUAAAUAAUAAACACCUUUUUCUAAAUAAAUAAAUUCCCCAACACUAUAUUAUAUUCUAGCCACAAAUAGAAUGUUUAUUUAAAUUCUGAAAAUGGCAUUAAGUUCAAUGUUUGUGACUCAGUGAUUUUAAUUGUAAAAUGUACUAUACAUGCAAAAUCUUAACAGUAAUAACUUAAAUUCUUAUUAAAUUACAAUGUAUUCAAAUUCUAUUACAAUUUGAAUAAAUUGUAUGUAGAAUUUUAGUAAUGAUACAUAAAAUAUACAUAUAUCUUUUAUAUUGAACCAAUCCAGUAUUUUAAACAAACUCAAACAAGCAUGGAUUCUCCACUGGUUUUUUAAAGAUUAGAGUCAGAAGUAAAAUUUGUGUCAUUGUCCCACAAUGGCACCACUAAACCAACAUUUUAUUUACAAAUAUUAAUGUUUUUUCAUCCUAGAUUGAACUUCACAUAUAGACACUAUUUAAUAAUAAUAAUUAUAAUAAUAAUCAUAAAACAUACACUUCUAUCAUUUCUUUAUUUGCAAUUAAACUUUAAGGUUGAGAUCUCCAAAAUAAUUUAGUAGGAUAAACUUGAGAUUUGUUUUAAGACUUGCUUUGAAACUCAUCCUAUAAGAGUCAUACCAACUCUUUUUUACUCUAAAAUUUAAUAUGAUUAAAUAUAGAAUGGCAAGCUUGAUUUGUGGUGGAUGCAAAAUAAAUAAUGUUCAUGGAUGAAAAGAUCAACACAUAUCUAAUACAUGAAGAUUAAUAAUUGUUAGCAGUACAAUUUGAAAAGGAAAAAAGAAAACAAACAAACAAACCAUCAAACAAACCAUCAAACAAUUGUUGAACUAAAGGAAAAAAAUAAUUUACAAUGAUUAUAACUUAUUAUUUUUGCAUUAGGCUUAUCAUGGUUUAUUGCUUUUAUAACUUUUUAACAAAACUUCUGCAUCAUUGCUUAUGGUUUAGGUCUGAAAUUACUAAAAAUGAUCUUGGGGUUGCAAUGUUGAAUAAUAUUUUAGAAUUACUUCUCUGGUAUUAAGGUUAAGUUAGAAACAAACAUUAUAUCAAAUUAUAUUACAUUUUUUCUAAUUAUCAUUUUAAUUAUAAAAACAAAAAUAAUUUUAAAUUCAUAAUUUUUUUAUAAUAAUUAAUUCUAAACUAUACAUGGAUUUCAGUUAAUAAAAUGGCUAAAACAAGCUUUAAUUCCACAUGGAACCUGUCAAAUCGCUCCAAUUUCAAAAUAGAGGUUGAAUUUGUAUUAAAUUUCACAGCACACAAGAAAAUUACUGCACUAAAUAAUCAAUUGUACACAUAAUUACAAUUUUUUUUGAAGAUGCGUGCAAAUAAGCAACAUACUUAACGCACAGUCCUUCAUGAUCUUCUACACUCCUCUAAUACACUCUUCUAAUAUGCUUCUCUUGUAUGCAACACAUCCACUACUAUCUUCACAUUUUCCGCCCUUUUUUUUUUUUUUUUCUCUCAUGGAGCUUGAUACUGCUAGCACCUUUGUAAGCAGUGAUACUUUGAUUGCCUAUGUGCGAAAGGUAGGCUUGGUUGUGAAUUACGGAAUUGUGAUAAAAUGUUCUAACACCUCUGCAAUUGCAUUGAACUGAGUUGUGACCUCAACACUUUGUUUUCAUUAAUUUAGCAAUUAGUAAAGAAUUGACCCAUGUGCCCCACAACCUUACCAGCUCCCACCUCUACUGCACUUCUCCAACUUCGCACAAUCACAGAACAAAAAUAAAAUUAAAAAUAAACCAUGAAAAAACUCAAAAUCACAACUGCUGUACAAGUUGUGAUUUGGAGUAGCAAUGAAACAAAGAACCAGCCCUGUGCUCCACUACCUGAGUCACAAAAGGGUGGGGGCAGUAAACAAACACCCUAUCCUACACUGGGUCACUAAACUCAUAGCCCCACCCCUACUGCUCCCCUUCGAAUCUCUGUCUGCAGCUAAUUACCAGAAAAUUCAUAAAAAUUGGAGAUUACGAUAAUUGUAGAAGGCUAAAGCACCACAAAUAGAUGAAUGAGUCAGUGCACAAAAUGUAUAUUUUAACAUACCAGGUUGAUAGAUGAAGAUCCGGGAACACACAAGCAACAAAUGGGGAUUCGCGUCGCCGCUGUGUGGUCUCGCCAUCGUCGCGGAUUCCUCGUUCUGGAUCCUCUUACAUGCCGUGGCCCACGCACCAUUUUCCUGUAGAGAUCGCAGCUCCAUUGGCUCGCUCGUGAUAAACCCAAAGCCGCGUUCAAAGGGACUUCCGUCUGCACGCUAGUCGUCUUGCCUUUACCGACAAACGCUGCCGAGAAUUGCCACAAACCGUGUGGAAUCCGAGGUGGUACCUCCAUCUGCCGCCUGCACACUCUCUCUCUCUCUCUCUCUCUCUCUCUCUCUGUCCCUGGUUUCGGGUUCGUCGUAUAUUUAUUCCCCUGCUGCCUUCCUCCAUCUUGUGCAGUUUGUUAGAACGUUGUCCUGCGGACAUACAGUCUGAGCUUAGUGGAGGUGAAUCGUGGUUUUUGGUGGUGAAGAGUUAGUGGGUUGCAGAGGAUCGUCGUCGUCAGUGCAGAGUUGAUUGCUUGAAUUGGUGCCCCUGCUCCUUCCACAAUGUCGGGCCCCGGGUUCUAUUACUACAGUGAUCCUAGGCCCUUUCACAGCUUCCAGCCGCUUCACUCUGAUGGAUCGCUUGAUUACGUAAGUGUUUUUUUUUUUUUUUUUUUUUUUUUUUUUGUUGGUGUGUGUGUGACGAGUGGCUUUCGUUGAGCUUUGGUGCGGAGUUUCGGGCGUUCGUUCCUCGGGGUUGUGUUCUAGGAGAGGAAUAAUGUGUGUGUGUGGAUUGUGAGUUUUUUUGGAUGAUUGAUCGUGCGUUGUGUGCAGUGGUUCUAUCCUAACAAGGAUUUACUCAAGUACCCGAUUGAGGAGCCCAAGAAGGACAAUAAGAAGGAUGACAAGAAGGACGACAAAAAAGACGCUGAGAAGAAAGACGGGAAGGAUGACAAGAAGCCGAAGGUAGAAUGACGCUCAGCUCUGAAUGUGUCUGCAAUUGUUGAUGAUGAUUCGUGCAGACAGUGUUUCUGGGUAGGUUUGAAUCACACAUUCUUUAGGAGACUAUCUCCUGAAUCCUUAGUCAUUGUUCCCUCAAUCUGGGUUUUAACUUGACCUCACUCGAUGAUACAGACAAUCGAAUUAAAGGUACACCUAUGCUGCGAAAAGUGUGCCCGCAAAAUGAGCAAAAAACUCGAGAGUAUGGAUGGUGAGUACCCGAAUCUCUCUCCUGAAAAGCACUCUCCUCUUGUCUGUUACGCCAUUAUCCCUCAACUAGCUCUUACUUGUACAGCGACAGUGUUUACAGAAUAGAUAGCACUCACUAGCCAAGGGAAACGUAUCAUCGCGAGAGAGAAUUGCGUGCUGAACCAUCACCUCUGGGGUAUACGCAGGUGUGCAGAAGCCUGUGAUUUGCGACCUGUACCUGACGAAGGUGACAGUGACAGGCACUGCGAAACCGGAGGCUGUCCUGAAGACCGCACAGAAGAUGAAGAAGGACGCUGCGAUGUGGCCCCAGAAGAAGUAAAAAACCCAUGCUCCUGCGACACGAUCUUGUAAAGACUUUUUGACAUUUUGAACGAGAGUUUAGAAUCAGAUAUUUAGUAUUACAGGAGGCAUGAGUGACAGCCAUGCUCUCCCACUGCGCCGCACCUUGGCCUUUAGUCCGAAAGUCCUCGCUUGAUGCAUCGGCAAGUGCUGAAGCAAGCGAAUCACAGAAGCUGCAGCGUAGCCAUAAACACAGACCUAGCACAGUUGUACAUAAUUCAGCACUUUCAGAAAGCUUUUUCGAUCAACUAUUAAUCUUUUUUCUUUUUCUUUUUUUUCCCUCUCUUUGUACAAAACUUCUUUCUCUCCCUACCCAUGUAACUUAGCUAGCAGCAACAGAUUCCUCAUCCACGCCAACAGGAGAUUUUCUAGAUUUGCUCUACCUGCAAUUCUAUGCCACCACUCUGAUUCUAAACCAGAACACGGCCGCAGAUCCGACUGGUUUCCUACAUAGAUUGCUUCGUUUACUCCUGCACUAGCGACGCAACGCAGCCUGGUACACUGACUGAAUCUGGACAGUAUCUCUCGCAGCUUAGCAUUGUCGUGCGCUAUGGUGGAUGACUAGCAGCGCCUGCCACUUGGAUGCAGCUCCAAGGACAUUUUCGGUGACAGCAGGUUUCGCUUUUUUUUUUUUCUCCUUUUUUCUUUUCAUUUUGUUUCAGAGCUAGGCACAGGGUGGCGCCGCAGACUCAUCUGCAGCGGUGCAAAUCACGACGCAGGUUUCAUGAUUCCAUGGGCUGUGUGUGUGUCCAGGCGCCGCCUGAAGGACACAGUGUGGAGAACUCAUGAGAAACAAAAGCAUGUUCUCUUGCUUGCAGAUGUUGAUGUGGUUGGUUAGAAUCAUAUGCAUGAUUCCACUCGUUAUAAAUAUAGUUCUCUUAUCAACAAAGUGUAUGAAUAGAGGAACCCACAUUCCCAAUCACAACCCGGAUUCCGGAAGCUGCUGAUAUUUUUUUAUUAUUUAUAUAAUAGCAGUGAUGAUAUUGAAAGGUCGUGUGUUUGUAUGUUCCACAACAGAUUCGGUGUUGCUGUGAGACCAGAACUUUUUUGAUGAGUUCGAAGUUUGAGAACUGGCAAUGGGAGUGUUUCUCGCAUUCGUACGGCGAAUUCUUAAGAAUGGGUGCGACACAUUUAUUUUCUUAUUACUUAAUUGUUUUUAUAAGUGUUUUUUUAAAUUAUUAUUUCUAAUUACACCAUUUCCAACUUCUAUACUGUGUACUAUCUUUCGAUAUGGACCUGUUGUCUACUUGCCAUAACUACAUUUGACUAAUUUUCUAAAAACUAUUUUUUUGUAUUAAAAUCUAUUAUUAUUAGUAGUAAAAGAAAGUCAAUAGUAUCAACACAUCUGUGAUGAUAAUAUUCAUGUUGGUGGAGUUAGAAGUGCUAAUUCUAAGUACAAGAUGACAUAAUUUAAUGUAGUAAUAUACAUAGGGGAAUAUCAAAUUGACCCAUCUAAAAUUUAAGUCAAUCCACCAUGUAACUUCUAGUGUAAUUCUAUUUAUUAAAAUUGUAUGUAGUAUAUAGCAAAUGCUGAUUAUAUGUACAAAAAUUAUGUAUACACACCCUACAUUAAGGUUCCAAGAGUAUCAAUGCUUCAAAUCAAGCAACAUAUUAGCUUAGCUAUUAUUGCUCCAAGGCUCUUCAUAGCCAACCUCAAUUUCUAUUGCAAUAGAUGGCUUUUUAACCUAAGUGAUACAUCCUUUAAUUUAACUAAACAACUUUAGACUUCUUUUUACUAGACAUAUAUACAUAUACAUAUAUUAUAUGAAGUUUUGAUAGAUAGAAUUGCAUUAAAAGUCACAUAAUAAAUUGAUUAUAUAUAUAUAUAUAUAUAUAUAUAUAUAUACACAUAUUAAAUCAACUAGAUAAAACUUGAAUUGACCUGCAUUUGCUCUUAUUAACUUGUAUUGUCUUCAUUUGUUUUCUUUCUAUUCAAUUUUAUACUUGAUCCUUUCAGCACAAUAAAACAAAGUAUAUUAUUAUUUCCAAAUCUUAAUGUAGAUUAUGAUUAUUUUAUUUUGAGUAAGUCAUUAUACACAUUAAAACCUUCAAUUUAAACUAAAAUUCAUGCAUGUUUUUUUUUAAAAAGUAGCAUAUAACAAUCUAAGAAAAUAAAUAAUUCACAAGAGUUUUUAUUAAGAUAAGGGCUGUAAAAAUUGUAUGUUGUUAUACAUGUGAUGUGUGCAAAUUAUUGCUAUGUAUUAUAUUACUUAAAGAACUUACUCUAGUAUUUCGAAGAUUAAUUGUAAUAUAGUACAUAACAAUGCCAUGUUAUGUGAAAAUGAGCUAGGCAUUUAGAUAUGAAAGAAUUUGAUUUAACCUUGAAGUUAAAUUUUCAACCUAAAAAAAAAUAUAUAAGGUAUUUAAAAACACCAUAUUGGCAAUCUUAAACAACUUUUUUAAACUUAGAAAAAUCUUAGAUAUGUCUUAUCAAUCUAAUCAAUUCAAAAUAAAUCUUAAAUAAUUUUUCAUAAUCCUUAAUAGUCCUAAUUAAGUUCUAAAGAUAUCAUAACUAAUACAAAGAGACUCUAAAAGAAUCCUAAAGAAAUUUUAACUAGCCUCAAAGAAAUCUUUAAAAAAAAUUAAAGAAAUCAUUAAAAAAAAUCCUUUAAAUUCCUAAAGAAAUUAUUAAGAAACCUUAAAGAAAUUUGAACAAUAUUGUAGAAAACCUUAAGAAACUCUAAAUAAAUUCUAAUUAAAUCUUAAUCAAAUUUUAUUACAAAUUUAAAGCUAUAAUUAUUCUUAUUAAAUUAACUAUUGAUAUUAAUUAAUUGAUUUUAAUUUUCAAUAUCAUAAUUGAAAAUCAAAUCAAAAACAUAAAAUUUGAAGAAAAUUAAAAUUACCAACUAAAAGAAAAAAAAGCAUAAUCCAAUUAAAUAUUAGCUGUCAUCCUUCUCCAAUCUUAAUAUCAAUCUUUUAGGAUUAAUAUCUUCUUUUAGCAUUAUUCAUUUGUUUUUAAAAUCUUUACAAAUAUUGGAAAUAAAUUCAAUUAUUAAUUUAUAAAAAAUCAUCUUAAUUAAUUUGGUAAAUUGCUCAAAAUAAUAAAAACCUAUAUUGACCCUCAAAAUCUAAUUUUUAAGACUCCAAUCUACUUAAAUUUUGAUAAGCUUUGUUCUAAUUGUUUAAUUAAAUUCAAAUUUAUAACUUAUAUCUAAGACAACUAAAUUCACUAAUUCACAAAUUUUCACCAAUUAAUUUGCUACAAAAUUUAUAAAUUUUCUAAAAUAUAAAUCUUUUUUUAUUCCAUAAAAAAAUGUAAUCACUCAAAACUAUCUUAACUUUGCAAAGCUCUUCUAAAGUUAAAAUCCACUCAAAUCACUCAAAAUCAAUGCUUGAAGAAAGUUUAAAAAGUUUUCUUAUCAACUCUACUUGUUAACCAAUAGAAGAAGCCCACACUUGCCAAAGGAUGCAAUCUUGUGCCUUAGGAUCUAGUUUCAAUCUUAGUUUAUAACUAGGACUUUUUAAGUGUAAAUUUAUGGUUUUUCUAAAUAAUUCUUAUUAAAAGCUAUUCUUUACUUUUACCUAAAGAUUCUUGUAAUAUUAUUUUUGCUUAUCUAAUUUUUUCUUCUUGUUUAUAGCCUUAUAAAGUAAGUAAAAAUAUGUUUUACAAAAGACAAUAUUAACAUUCAAUAUUUUAUUAUCUUCCUACCAUUUAUCUAUAUUUUUUAUAUUAAUUCUCUACUCUAUUUUCAAUUAAGCUCUUUUAUAAUAUAAUCCUUUUUUCUUUCUUUCUUUCAUCCAAUAGCAAUAUAACAACACCAUAAUGAUAAGAAGUAUGUAGUUCAAUUUAAGAUUUUUUUUGAAUAAUUUAAAUAUUCUCGUAUAUAUAUAUAUAUAUAUAUAUAUAUUAAUAUUCUAAAAGACUUUUAUAUUCUCCUCAUUCUAAUAUUUACUUCUUUGUUUCUACAACAAUCUCAUCCACAUUUAUGAUUACACAACUAUUUAUUAAGUUCUAUCUUUAUCAUAGUUAAAUUAAAUAAUCAUCUAUAAAAAGAUAUAUUUUACAUACUUCUUAUCUUUUAAAAAAAUUAUUACAUUUGUUAUUGUAUGUGAUUUGUAAAUGAUUUGUGAAUUAUUUGAUUAGAAGAAAUAAGAAAAUAAUUAAACUUAUUAUAGAUUGUAUUUUUGUGUGUACGAGUAAAGAGCAAGAAUAUAGUUGUUUCUGAGUUUUUCAAAGUAGAAAGAAAAGGCAUAAAAUAAUAAUAAGAAGAAGAGAUAUGAUAGAUUUUUUUACUUCUAUAAUUGUGAUAAGGGUAGAUGCAUACUUGUAGUAGAUUAUUUAAUGUACAAAAGAAAAGACCAGAGUAGAUUUGUGUCUUAACUAUUAAGAUAAUAGUGAAAAAAAAAAAAAAAAAAAAAAAAAAAAACACAAUAGACUUGACGUGGAUUUUUUUGUCUAAGAAAUAAACAAAAAUACAUUGGGAUCUGAAAUACAUUGAUUUAUUUAGGAUUACCAAUAUUUAGGAUUUAUUACGAUUUUUUAAAACUUUCGUGGAUUUUGAGUUGUUUAAGACUGUUAGGAUUAAUUAAUAAUUAUUAUAAUUAGAAUUAUUCUAGAAUUGUGAUUUAUAGAAUUUAUGAUUUAUUUUGAAAUUUUUAAGAUUAAGAUUUAUUUAAGAAUAGUAAAUUGUGGAAAUAUAAGGAUUUGGGAUGAAUUAGGAUUUGAGAUGCAAUAAGGUUUUAUGAGUUUUAGGAUUUAAUAAGGGUAACUAAGAUCCAUGUCUUAUUAGACUUAAAACUUACUUAGAAGUUUUAGGAUUUAAAAUUAAUGAAGAAAUUUUUUUAGUUAAAUAUCUAAAAAAUAUUUCUAAUAGAUUUAAAUCUAAAAAUUAAUAUGCAUGUUAAAGUUUAAUUUCAUGACAUUAUAAAAUCAAAGAAAAUUGAAGAAACUUGUAACAUACUAAAAUUAAAAUAUAAUGAGUCAAAUUAUUAAGACACAUGCUAAAUUAAUUUUUAUAUAACAAUCAUAUAUAAUAUUUGAGUUGUGACUAGUUUGUAAAUAAAUAAGAUCUUAUAAUACUUGUUUGAUUGAUAUAAAAACUAUAAAUCAUCCAAAUUUCAAAAUUAUUUGAUCAUAACUAUAAUUGAAUAAAAUUAGAAUUUAUCUUUAUACUAUGUAGAUAUAUUAACUUAAAUUUAUUAAAAUUAAAAUUAUUAUAUUAUAUUAAAAAUAUAUUUCUAAUAUAUAUAUAUAUAUAUAUAUAUAUAUAUAUAUAUAUAUAUAUAUAUAUAUAUAUAUAUAUAUAUAUAGAUAUAGAUAUAGACAUCUUUGUUUAUUCAAAUUACAAGUAUGAGUAGCUUUUGUUUAUAAAAUUUUAAGUUAAAAUUAAAUAUUUUAAAGAUUAUAUAGUAUUUAAAUAAAAAUAUUUAAAUAACUACAUAAAAUAUUACUUUUAGAUUUGAAAAAUAUUAUAUAUAAGAAUAAAUAUAUUUUAUUAUUUUUAAUGCUAAAAUUGUCUUAUUAAAUUUUAAAUAAUUAUUGAUAAAUUUUAAUCCAAUAAUACUUUUUGGUUCUUUCAAUAUUUUCUAAUUCAUUUAGCAAACUUAUCAAGCUAAAGCAACAUCUGAAAUCAAGUCUUUUUAAAGAAAAGAGAUUUUUUCAUUUAUUUGGAAAGCUUAUCAAAUUUUUGCAACUAUUCAAACCAAAUGUUUGCAAAGACCAAAGAUUUGCCAAUUUAUUUGGAAAGCUUCUCAAGAUUAAGCAACCACUCAAAUCAAGUGUUUUUAAAGAAAAAAGGUUUGCUAAAUCACUUAGUAAGCUUAUGAAGUUUGAACAACCACUCAAGCAUUUUCAAAAAAGAAAAGUUUGGCAAUUUAUUUGACAAGCUUAUCAAGUUGAAGGAACUAGUUAAGUUCUAUGACAAUACAUAAUUUGAGUUUGGCAAUUUAUUUGAUAAGCUUAUCAACUUAAAAAACUCAAAUUAUGUAUUGUCAUAGAAGAAAGAUUUUUUAAUUGAUUUAAUAAGCUUAUCAAUUUUAAACAAUUACUCAAACUAAAUGUAUGUAAAGAAAAAAAAAAUCUAAUUUGUUUGGAAAGUUUUUCAACUUGAAGUAACUAUUCAAAUUAAGUAUCAUCAUAGAAGAAAUGUUUGCCAAUAUUUUUGGCAAAUUGAUUAAGCUUGAGCAACCACUCAAAUUAAGAUUUUUCAAAGAAAAAAUAUAUUUUUUAGUUUAUUUGGGAAUCCUCUCAAGUUAUAGUAACCAUUCAAAUUAAGCACUAUCAUGGAAGAAAGGUUUGCCAAUUCAUUUGGUAAGCUUUUUAAGUUUAGACAGCUACUAAAAUUAAGAUUUUUUAAAGAAUAAAGAUUUUUUAAAUUUAUUUGGUAAGCUUGUUAAGUUAGAUCAAUCUUAUAAAUUAAGUAUUGUCAUAGAAGAAAUGUUUGCUAAUAUUUUUGGUAAGCUGGUUAAGCUUAAAAAACCACUCAAAUUAAGUAUAUGUAAAAAAAAAAAGUUUGAUAAUUUAUUUAGAAGUUUGUUAAUUUUUAAAAAACCACUUAAAUUAAGCAUUUUCAAAGAAGAAAGAAUUGUUAAUUUUUUUGGCAAAAUUAUGAAGUUCAAGCAACCACUCAAAACAAGUAUUUUCAAAGAAGAAAAAUUUACCAAUUUAAUAUAUAAGCUUGUUAAGCUAGAAUAAUUACUCAAAUUAAAUAUUAUUAUAGAAGAAAUAUUUGUCAAUUUAUUUAAUAAGCUUAUUAUACUUGAAUAAUUACUCCAAUAAAGUCUUAUUAGUGAAGAAAGCUUUGCAAAGUCAUUUGGCAAGCUUUUCAAACUUAAACAACUACUUAAAUCAAGUCUUAUCAAAGAAAAAAUAUUUGUAAAGUUAUUUGGUAAGCUUUUUAAACUUAAACAACCACUUUAAUCAAGUCUUGUCAAAUAAGAGAGAUUUUUAAAGUCAUUUUGCAAGCUUCUUAAGCUUAAGAAACUUCUCAAAUCAAGUCUUGUCAAAGAAAAAAGAUUUGCAAGAUUAUUUGAUAAGCUUGCCAAGCUUAAGCAACUAUUUAGAAUAAAUUCUUUCAUAGAAUAAAUAUUUGUUAGUCCAUUUGGCAUACUAAUCAAGCUUGAGAAAUUAGUCAAAUAAAAUAUUUUCAAAAAAGAAAUAUUUUUUAAAUUUUUUUGGCAUGCUUUUCAAGAUUUUUCAUUCACUUAAAUUAAGUAUUAUCAAAAAAGAAAGUUUUGUCAAUUCAUUUGGCAAACUUAUCAAGCUUAAGUUGCAAUUUAAAUAAAUUCUUUUCAAAGAAGAAUGAUUUUUUAAUUUAUUUGAUAAGCUUCUCAAGCUUAAGUAACCACUCAAAUUAAGUAUUUGCAAAGAAGAAAGAUUUGAAAAGUCAUUUAGCAAGCUUGUUAUGCUAAAAAAAAUCACUCAAAUCAAGUCAUGUUACAAAAGAAAGUUUUUUCAAUAUAUUUGGUAAGAUUUUUAAUCUUAAGAACCUACUCAAAUUAAAUCUUAUUAAAGAAGAAAGAUUUUUUAAGUCAUUUGGUAAACUUGUUAAGCUUAGGCUAUGAUUAAAAUCAAGUCUUGUCAAAGUAGAAAGAUUACCAAAGUCAUGUGGUAAGAUUUUUAAUCUUAAACAUCUAAUCAAAUUAACUUUUAUUAAAGAAGAAAGUUUUUUAAAAUUUAUUUGGUAAAUUUUUUAAUCUUAAGCACCUACUCAAAUUAAUUCUUGUCAAAAAAUAAAGUUUUUUCAAUUUAUUUGGUAAGCUUGUCAAAUUUGAGUAACCACUCAAAUUAAGCCUCUGUAAAAAAAAAAUGUUUGCCAAUUUAUUUGGCAAGCUUAUCAAACUUGAGAAACCACUAAAAUUAAAUAUUUUUUAAGGAGAAAGAUUUUCAAAUUCAUUUAGCAAGUGCAUCAAACUUUAGCAACUAUUCAAAUUAAGCAUUUUUAAAGAAAGAAGAUUUAUCAAUUUAUUUGAAAAGCUAAUUAAACUUAAGAAAUUUUAAAAAUUAAGUAUUAUUAAUGACUUAAGAUGUAUUAAUUCAUUUGGUAUGGUUUUUAUAUUUUUUUAAAAAUUUAAAAAUUUAUUUAUUUUAAAAAUAAAUUUUUAUUUUUAUUUUUUUUGAUAAUAUCUAUCUAAAUUAAUUUCUAAUAAUAUAAUAAUUUGCAAUAAUUUUAUUAGUAGAUUUUUAUCUAAUUCAAAUCCUAUUAGAUUUAAUAUGCUUAAUUCUUUGAGUUUUUUCAAAAAAUCUUUAUUGAGUAUUGUAGAUAAUAAUUUUAUUAUUUUAUAAGGAUAGAUGCAAUAAUAGUUAUAUCUUAACAUCAAAACUUUUAACUUUUUAGCAUUUUCAGCUAAAAAAAUACAUAUUUCAAAAAUAUCUUGAUUUGAAUUUCUAUCAAGUAAAUAUGAGUAUUUGUAGAGAAGAAAAGCAAGAUAUUUUGAUAAUAUAUUUUUGCAGCAUAUUUCCUAUUUUGUUAUUAAAAUAAUAUAAUCUAAAUAUUUAAUAAUAUAAAAGAAGAAUAAUUAAAAAUUGCAAUUAAUAUCAUUUUAAGAUACUUAAAAUUUAUACAAAUUUUCAAAUAAUUUGCAUCAUCACACAAAAAAUAUAAAUCUAAUCUUAAAAAAUAUUAAAAUAUUUAAUAUUUAAUUUAAUAUUUAUUAUUAAUAAUUUUAUUUUAAUUAUUCUUUUAUUAUUAAUUUUUAUUUUUAUUUUUAUUAAUCUAUCUAUUAGCACCAUAUUUACAUGCCAAAUUUGUGUGCCUUUAUAUUCUUCUUCUUUUCAACAGUUCUUUGAUUCAUAUCUUAUAAUUGAUCAUGCACUUUUAUUACUCUAUCUUUAUUUAUUUUUAUUAUUGAUUGAUGAACCAACAUAGCUAAAAUACUAUUUGAAUCUUAUUUUUUAACUUCAUUCUUAGUGUGGGCCCAUAUUUGUUAUAUUCUUUCUUCCAUUGUACCAUCCUAAUUUACAUUAUUACAAAAGAAGCAAAAAAUGUCCAAAAACAUAUUUUUUUCUUUAAUUUUUAAGGCAUCAAAACUUAUCUUCAAAAUACCCCAAAGCUUAUGAUAGCUAUCUUCUUCAUUUUUGUCUAUAUCUCUUUGUUUUUUUAAUUUUUGAAAAGUUCUUCCUCAAAAUCUCAAUUUCUUUUGUCUUCUUCAAAAUGACCUUGUAACUUUCAAAUUCAAAGUUGGUCCAUUACAUGUUUUUACAAUCUGCUUGCCAACCUCAAUAAAUUCUUUAGAAAAUAUAGUAUAAUUUCUACAAGAAUAAGUUGUAAAUAACUUCAAACUUGUAUCUUCAUCAAGUUUUUUAACAUCAAUUUUAUGAAACUUUUUAGGAUAGUCUUCUACGACCUUCCAAUUUUGUAUUGUCAUAAUUAAUAUGCUACAUUUAUUAGAAUACAAGACAUUUAUAAGCACAACAAUAUUAAUAUAAUUCUUACUCUUCACACCAUCUAAAAUCAAUAUGAAUUUUUUGCUUAUCAAUAUUCAUCUUAUUAUUUCUUGAGCUUCUUUCAAAUUCUUUUGAUUUUGAUUGAAAAUUUAUUUGGUUUAAAAUUUUACAAAUUGUUGAAAAACCAUCAUCUUUAUUUUCAAUACUUUCAAUAAAGCACAAUACAUCAUACAUGUGUUUCAUAUCAUCAAAUGUAGUCUUUGUUAAUGUAGUCUUUCUUAUUCCACCUAUAUCAACAAAACACAAUGCCAUCAUUCCUCCCUUAUGUAGUUGUUUGAUUUUUAGCAAAUAUUGUUUUAGAUCCAUUAAUUAGUCUUCAUGUUUAUUUUCUUAUUCAAGCAAUCAAAUCAUAAAAUUAAUAAAAGAUACAACCUAUGCCUUAGAUUCUAAUAUAAUAGUCUAAUUAUAUAUUUAUAUAUUGAUAAUAAAACAUCAUCAAAGAAUAUGAAUUGAAAUAAAAAUAUCUAGAAUUCAAACAAAUUAGUUCAAUGUAAAUAUCAAAGAGACUUUUUAAUAUAAGAUUUAUCAAUAUAAUAUCAACUUUCAUAUUCUUUGAUUUAUUCUUUUGAUGAUAUUUUUUCUUAAAUAAUCCAAAAUAAGAAGUUUAGAUUAUAUUAAUUUCUACUACAUAUAUAUUUUUUUUAAUUUUAUGAAUCUCUUACAAAUAUUGGCAAAACUUGAUCUUUAUAAAGGAUCCAAAGUCCAAUAUUCUUGGAUCAAUUCAUUAAGACCACCACAAUUUGAAGAUAACUUUGGUCUUUCAUCUUUUUCAAUUCUUUCUAAUAAUUUACCUUUCUUGAUUAUACUAUCAAUUGGAUCUUUUCUUAAGAGAAUCUUAGAACAUGUCAUUGCAAAAGAAUAUACAUUUGAUUUAAAAGCACACAUCUUUAUUGAUUUCAUUAUACCUUUUAAUAUCUCUAAAAUUGUAUAUCUUAAUGUUCCAUAUAUACAAUUAUUUUAUUUAGCUUUUGAAUUCCUUUCUACAUUAGUCCUUGACCAACCAAAAUCAAUGAACUUCACAACAUAUUAAAAACCAUUAAAAAAUUUACAAUCAUCUGUAAUAAUGAAUGAUGUAUUAUCUAGCUUUAGAUCUCAAUGAAUAAUAUUCAUGUCAUGCAAAUACAUCCUUUUUACAAUUUGAUAAAUAAUAUCUUAAGAAAAUAAUAUGGUAUUGACUUUUUUUCUUCUAAUAUGUUGUUCAAAUUGGCUUGCAUCAAUUCCAUCACCAAGUAUACUUCAUGACUUAAAAUAUUCAUUCUUGAAGAUUCAUCAAUCUCAUUUACUUUAUUUUUUGCAUCAUAAAAAUAUUUGAUCACAUUUAGAUGGCUUGAAUUAACUAAAAUACUUACUUCUUGCCCGAACAUUGUAUUCAAAUCAACAUCCAUCACUUUUGUUUCACUUAAAAGUCCAAACCACCUUGAUUCAUAAACUUCUCCAAAAGAACCAUCAUUUAUAGAUUUUCCAAGUUCUAAAUUUUUGAUAUCACUUGAUACUACCAAAAACUUCAAUUCUUCUUCUUCUACACAUUGCAAGUCCUUUAAUCUAUCUAAUAGAGAAUUUGCUAAUCCAUAAUCUUUAAAUUACAUAUCUUUACUUGCAUAAUCCAAUCUCUUAUAAAGUUCUUUACAAUCAUAUUUCACUUCUUCAUAAGUAGAAAAAUCAAACAAUAUAAAUAUAAUGUCUUCUAACUUUUCUAGACACUCAUUUGAAAGUAGAUCAACUCCCAAAUCAUGAUAAAUCUUCAAGUCACACAAUAGUUUCCUAAACAUUUCUUUAUUUUUCAUUUAAAAGAUACUUGCUUUACACCAACAUUGUUGCCUACAAUUUUUUAUCAAUUUAUAUAUAUUAAAUGUUGUAUCUUGAAAUUCACAAAAUAAAAGUUCAUACUUAUUUCUUUCAUUGCUACAAGUUUUAAAGCUUUCAAAUACUUUAAUAACAUGGCCAAGUGGUUUGUAGAUAUUAUGACAUUGAUUUCUAUUCAAGAAGAAUUUGGUCCUGAAUAAUACCUCAAUUUCUUUGUUGUAAAUAUGGCAUUGAGUGAGCACAUCUCCAAUAUCAACUUUUCUUCCUUGAAAUAAAAUUCUUUAAUAAUUAGAGAUCCCAAUGUAUAACAAGCAAAUAAAAAUCACCAAAUUAUUAAAACACACUUUACUAGGAAUUUCAAAAGAUAAGCCAUAAUAAAUAUUUAAAUGAUAUGUGUAAUUUGCCUUCAACCACAUAAUUACAAUCUUAUUACAAAAUUUAAUACACUUUAAUAGUUUUUAUUCAUCCAAAAGCUUCAUCAAAAUAACGAAGCUGCUACUAAUAUAUUUCACAUGAAUAAAAACAAUUUCUACUUACAUUUAUAAUUCUUUUAGUAGUUUUUUACCAUCAUUUUUAACAUAACAAAUAUUUGUACAUACAAAUAAAAUAAUACAUAAAUGUUCAUUUCAAAUGUCUAAUGACUUAUACAAAAUCAUAAAAAUCAUAGUGAUUGAUGCUCAUACCUUACAAAAUAACUAGUAUUUGAUUCUUGAGUAUACUCCUUUGUUUAUUGAAAAUAUUAUAGAUUCUUGAAAUGUUUGAUUAUCACAAGUCCUUCACACAAAGACAAUGUUAACAUUGAUCAAACUAAUUUAAAUGUCAAUCCUACAACAUGUUUCAUAGACACAAGAUUGACUCAUAUCUUUGAUAAGCAUUAAAUUAGAACGUUUCAACAUAGCACCACUCAUCUUGCUAGAUAAGACUAACUAGUUCCUAUAUUCGAGCUCUUUUACUCGAUCUGUUAUUGUUCCUUUCCAUGCAUUAUAAGUUGACUUCAAAGCAAGACAGCAGUGCAACAAAAGUUUAGCAAUCAGUCUGAUCAUGUUCCUAUGUCAUGCACAGAAAAGUGCAUUAGCACAAGGGCGGAUCCCGACAUUACUGACGUCUCUUUCCGCGACUCUAAGCUAACAAGACUUCUAGAAGAGUCACUGGGAGGUAUCUGAUCAUACCUCAAGUAAAUUAAAAUCGUUGGAGCUUUACAGAUGGAAUUGCUAGCUUGCUUGCACACAGAGUUGUGGGGCAGGCUCUAGCUUUGUAUCAUCAUAUUAUACAACAAAAAACUUAGCAAUAGUUGAUGUCCAGGAAAUGCAAAGAGAUCUUUAGUGAUCAAUGUUGCUCCUUGCAGCGAGUACCUGCAAGAGUCGAUGUAAUCACUCCACUUUGGAUCAGGGGUACGAACCAACUAUCUCACGAGAAGAAUACAAAUAAAAACAGAGGGUAUUGCUACAAAUCUACCUGAACUUUUCCUCGGAAGGUCCAGCAACACAAAUAUUAUUUGGGUUCUGUGGAUAGGCUAUGAUAUUGACGACGCAGGCCAUCGUCAACGUAGAUGAAGAAUUCAGGGUGCUCACCAGGAAUCUGCAGGAAACAGUGGAUUUGCAAGACGAGAAGCUGCAACAUCUUGCGGUAUUCACGUUGUCGGUAACUAUGUCGGAACCAAAAAAAGAGAAGACCGAAUCUCACUAUGUCAUCCUGAGGUAUUCACUUCGGCGCAUUGUAUGUUGUGCAAACCGAUUCUCACCUGAAAGAAGUCAUGUUGCAAUUCUGUUAUUGGUUGAUAUUAGUAGUAUGAAGAGCCUGUAAGAGAACUACAAAGAACAGAAUACGCGGGAGUAAAUUGAGUUUCCAUCGUCACGCUCGAGCUAAGUAUGUGCUUGCCGCAGGCCAAGGUGACGAGUAGAACCAUUUCUACUGCACCUCUGCAACACAUUGUAAGACAUCGCCUCUCUGGAAGUUGCUCUCGAGGUGUCAGUGCAUUUCGAAACCAAAAAAAAGAGAAAACCAGAGGGUUACCUACCAUCAGCAGCUCCCCGCUCUCACGUUGCUAGAAUGCGGCAGAGCGAUGUCACGGCGUGCAAGCGAAGCGCAGAUUCGAGAGGAUUCGAAGCAGGGAGACAGACACACCAACACUGAGGCGAGGGUUUCGCGGGGGCGGAGAAGGGGAGGCAAUCUCUCUGAAUGGGCUUCGAACGCCCACACGUGGCGGAUUAAAGUAUACCGAUUGUGUAUAACAUCGAAUACACGGAUGAAUGAUCAACCAUGUGCAGAUGUCAUUCAACAGCGCUAUCCUACGUGGCAGCCCAUUCAGCCCAUGCUUUGCACGUAGAUACUUCGAGCAAGGAUAAAAGAAUGACGUGGAAGAUGGUGGCAAAAUAGAUAAAGUGUGUUAUUUAUAUUGAGAAUAGAUUACAUACAAAUAUUAUAGCAAAUAAUUGUACAAAUUCUCUCCAAAAUAUUGUUUGAAUAUUGUGUGAUUUUAAAUAAAUAUGGUGGAUGAUUGAUUUCUAUACAAAUUUUAGCAUCAUAGGUAGUAAGAUUCUUACAUUGAACAUUAAUAUAUGGCCCCAUUUGAGCCAAUAUGCCUAAAAUUUAUAUUAAGAUCUUUUCUAUUUUAAAUAUAAUUAUGAAUUAUAAAAUAUAGUUUUUCUUUUUUUAUUUAUUUUUUAAAAAUAUUUUUAUAAUAAUUGAAAGCUUUUUUAUUAAGAAUUUAGUAAUAAAUAAUAGAUAUAGAUCUUUAAUAGAAGAAAUAAAUACUACUUAAUGGAUUUUUUUUGAUCCAUCUACUUAUUUAUUUGGUGAUCCUAAUUGAUCUAAUUUGAGCCAUAUUUAAAAAUAAAUAAAUAACUUAUUUUAUAUUUAUCCUAAAAAUGUAUUUUUUUUGUUAGCUACAAUGUCUUGAAUUAUUAAGUUUUAGGCUUAGGCUACAAGUAUAUUUCAAGUUGCUACACGCAUACUACAAAUUGCUACACUUACAUCUCCAAAAAAUAGAAGCGUCUAAUUGACUAAUUUUUGUUGUGUGAAGAUAAACAUCUGCUAUAAUUGUAAGUGAUUAAGGAGUAGGCAAUUCCAUGUGCAACGGUCCCAUUGGUUAGUUAAGUGGUGGUGUCGUAUUACGUGACGCCUUGCUUGAAAAUGUACUAAACACUUGGUUGUGGAAGGUAGAAAGAAUAUUGCAUCAAGAUUCUAAUUCUAAUAGAAUACUAAAUAAUUUCAAUUAAACCUUAACAAUGCUAAUCAAGCUUUAAUCAAUCCAAAGAAACCUCAAAGAAAUCAUGAAAGAAUCAUAAAGAAAUCCUAAAGAAAUUCAAAUGAAAUAUUAAAAUAAAACCUAAAAUAUAUUUUAAAUAAAUUCCAAUCAAAUUUCACUUUGAUCCUAGUUAAAAUCAUAAUAGUUUUUACUUAAAUCCUAAGUCAAAUCCUAACUAAAUCCUAAACAAAUCCUAAAUCCUAACCAAUUUUUAAAUCCUAAACCUACUCUAAUCAAUUUAAUCUAACCUUGGGGCAGUUUAGAACCUCAAUAUCUAACAAUUAUAUCAUCGAUCUUGCUUAAGAUUUUACAAAAACUAAGUUGGCAACAAGGAUUCAAAAUUUGAAGAAGAUCAAACUUAUCAAAUAGAAGAUGAAUUCUAAAUUCUACUUGGGUAUUGGCUGGCCUCCUAAUCCAAUCUAAAUGUCAAACUUCCAAUGCCAAUAUCUCCUUCUUGAACUAUUAAAUUUCCUCUAAAAUACACUUAAAUUGUAGAAGAUCAAGUCUAAUCUCCAUACAAAAAAAAUUCACUUCAAUUCAAUCAAUAGAUUGCUAAAAAUCUUAAAAAUACUCACCAACCUUCAAAUUUCAAUUUUUGAGACCUUGACCCUUAAAAACCUUCAUACACUUUGAUCUAACCGUUCAAUUGGUUCCAAAUUUUGCACACACUAAUAACUAUAAUAUCAACACAUUGCUCAAAAUUUUGAGCAAUAACAACAUCCAUGUUUUCAUUUUUAUCAUAUAUUCAUGUUACUAUGUGACAGUAGGUAUCCUCCAUGUACAAUGGUCUCAUUGGUUGGUGAAUAAGGAAGGUUUUUGACAAUAAAGUGUCAAUGACAUGAAUCUCAAAGGACUAAAAGAUCAAUAUACUCUUGUAUCAAUCAAAAGGCUAGAAAAUCACUGAAAGAUAAUAUGAUGUUGUUAUCGAUAUAUAUAUUUAUUCCAAUAAUUAUCUAUAUAAUUAGAUAGAAGUAGGUAAAAAUAUAUUAAUUUGAUCUUCUAAAAAAGCUUCUUAAAAGCUUCAUAAAUAUAAUUUUGACUUUACAUGUGCUUGUAAUUGAUUGAUAAGUUAAAAACUUGGUCAACAAAUUGAUCAUGCAUCACUGUCACGGACAUACAUAUAAUUACCUAUAUGAAUAGAUAAAAGUAUGUAAAAGUAGAUAAAAGUAGGUUAAUUGUGUAAUAUCUUCUAGAAAAGCUUCUUAGAAGCUUCAUAGACACUGCUUUGACUUUAUAGGAGUCUAUAGUUGACUUUUAGGCUAGAAACUUGGUCAACAAGUUAGCCAUGUGCCAUACAUGUUGGAAGCUUAAAGAACAAGCUAACUACGUGGUCCAUCCAUAGAAAACUUGCCUUAUAAGCAAAGGCAUGUGGCCUAGAAAGUCAACAUAUAUUGGAGGUCUUAUAGAACAUCGCCAUGUGGCUUCUAGUUAGAUAGUAUAUAUAGAGGCAAGAGUGAAGCCCUCUUCACUCUUGUCAACUCCUUUCUUGCUUCUAGUCCAGGUUCAAGAGUCUUUAGUUUCUUGUCUUGUGGCAAUAGCCAUUCCAGUUUCCUUUUAAUAUACCUACUUGUUUAUAUUAUAUCGAGAUAGCCUUUUGGUGUAUAUUUUUUCUCAUCGAGUCUUUGUCCUUGACAUAUUGACAAGAGUACACUUACAAUAUCAGAGCUUUGUUUUUUCUUGAGUAAGAGUGGAUUACCCCUUUCUCUUGACAAGACAUAAGCGUAUUAGAAGUUUGCGGAUUACCCACUUCUAAACUGAUAUUGUUCUUAGUAUCUUCUUUGUUAUCAAGUCUUUCUUUUCUUUUGUCUUGAGCAAUAUCAAACAAAUUUUUCUUCUUAGUGUCAUUAUGGCAGAGCUUGUUGAAAUGAAGAGCGCAAUAGCACAAAUGCAAGAGCAAAUGAGGGAGUUAAUGCUUGCGAUGCAUCAACUCAAUUCACCAACACAGGAAAGAACAAGAAUAGCAGAAAGUGGAGAUAUAGAGAUGAUCGGAGCUGCUUCAACAUCUACAACAAAUCACGUUCCUUCUCCAAUUGUACAACACCCUAUAAACACUAGAGAACCAAGAAUUGCCUUACCUGAGAAAUUUGAUGGUACGAGAUCAAAGUUUCGAGGGUUCAUCAAUCAAGUACAAUUGGCAAUUGAACUUCAACCGCAAAGCUAUCCAACUCCAGGAUCACAAGUCAGGUUUAUUGGCACUCUACUUUCUGGUUCUGCAUUAUCGUGGUUUUCGUCUUUUCUUGAACAACGAAAUCCAAUAUUGGACAAUUUGGAAGCUUUUUUGGCGGAGUUUCGAUCUAUGUAUGGUGAACACGAUGCAACUCGUGUUGCAACAAAUAAGAUCCGAAUUCUGCGACAAGAAAAUCGCUCAGUAACAGUAUAUGCUUCACAAUUUCGACAACUUGCAAUUGACAUCAAGUGGGAUGAUGCUGCACUCAUCAGUCAAUUUCUUUAUGGAUUGCAAUACGAAGUAAAGAAAUUGAUGCUCAACUUACCUGAUCCUCAAACUUUGAGUCAAGCAAUCGAUUUUGCGGUAAAAUGUGAUAAUCGACUUUUCGAAUUUUGAUCCGAGAAUCAUUCACGGAAACCUCAACGUUAUUACUCAAUGGCAACAUCAACAUCUUUGCCAAACGUACAUUCAGAAGUAGAAGACAUGCAAAUUGACGCGGUACGUUUUAAACCCCUAACUGAGCAAGAAAAGAUUCGUCGUCGUCAAGAAGGAUUAUGUUUAUAUUGCGGAGAACCUAAGCACACUGCUCAACAUUGUCCAAAGAAACGACGCAACUAUAAAAUGAGGGGUACGACGGUCAAAGAAGACAACAUGUCGGAAAACGGAUUCGUCCAGCUACAAUAGGGACCGUGCAGCUGGAACCUUGUACAAUUCCUAAUGAAGGUCCUAUCCUCUCCUCAGAACCCUCUCCUUGUUUUAUAAUAGACUUAUAUUUAGGACCUAAGAAUUACAAAGCCUCUGCUUUAUUAGAUUCGGGAGCCUCAGCAUGUUUUUUAGAUGAACAAUUUGUUAAAAGUCGUAAAAUACCCUAUGUACAGAAACCUAAACCAGUACAUGUAGAAGUCAUAGAUGGUCGUCCCUUGUCUUCUGGAGAUGUCACUCAUGAAACUCAUCCUAUAAAAGUAACAAUAGACGGUCAUGAUAGCUACAUAGCUUUUAACAUAAUUAAAUCCCCGUCCAAUCCAGUUAUUUUAGGUUUAUCCUGGCUAGAAAAAUAUAACCCUCGAAUAGAUUGGAAUUCGCGUAAACUUGACUUUUUCAAAAGAGUUAUUAAUAGUUCUACGAACCAAGUAAAAAAUUAUAAGUCUAGUAUAGUAAAACCCGUACUGAUAGGUGCAAAAGCAUUUAUACACGCAGCAAAAGAAGGAUCAACUUUUGCUAUUUAUGCUGCACCUAUUUCUGAAAAUGUAAAGACUUCAAGUGGCAUUCCAAGUCAAUAUCAAGAGUAUCAAGACGUUUUUGAGAAAAAGAAUGCAGAUAUUCUUCCUGAGCAUCGUCCAUAUGAUUGUUCAAUCGACCUCAAGGAAGGAACUCAGCCACCAUUUGGACCAAUUUACAGUUUAUCGCAAGAUGAGAUGGCUGAACUCAAGACAUAUAUUGACGAGAAUUUAGCGAAGAAUUUCAUACGCCAUUCAAAAUCUCCAGCAGGAGCUCCAAUUCUAUUCGUAAAGAAAAAAGAUGGAUCUUUACGAAUGUGUGUUGAUUAUCGAGGACUCAACAAGAUCACAAUCAAGAACAGGUAUCCAUUACCUUUGAUAUCAGGACUCCUUGACCAGUUGAAUCAAGCUAAGAUCUAUACAAAAAUAGAUCUAAGAGGAGCAUAUAAUCUAGUACGGAUCAAAGAAGGAGAUGAAUGGAAGACUGCGUUUCGAACCAGGUAUGGAUAUUUCGAAUAUAAUGGCAUGCCCUUUGGACUCACGAAUGCACCAGCUGCUUUUCAACAUCUCAUGAAUGAUGUAUUUCGUGAAUUCUUAGACAAUUUUGUCGUCUGCUAUCUAGACGAUAUCCUGAUCUAUUCCAAGAACGUCGAAGAACAUGAAAUACAUGUUCGUCAAGUAUUACAAAAACUUAGAGAUGCAGGAUUGUACGCCAAGAUGGAAAAGUGUGUAUUUCACACUACUCAAGUUGACUUUUUAGGAUACAUCAUUUCAAAUGAUGGUCUCAUGAUGGAUUCUAAGAAAGUCCAAACAAUCGUGGAUUGGAAGAUUCCAAGGACAGUAAGAGAUGUUCAAUGUUUCUUGGGAUUUGCCAAUUACUAUCGGAUCUUCAUCAAAGAUUUCUCACGAGUUGCAGCUCCACUUACACGCUUGACUAGUAAAGAUAAAUUUCAAUGGAAUCAAGAAGCGGAAGCAGCAUUUGAAGCCUUGAAGACAUCGUUUGUCUCUGCACCAGUCUUAUAUCGUGUUGACUUUUCCAAGGCAUUUUUUAUGGAAACAGAUGCAUCAGAUUUUGCCUUGGGUGCAGUUUUAUCACAAAUGGGAACAGAUGACAAACUCCAUCCGAUAGCUUUUCAUUCAAGAAAAUUCUCAGCAGCCGAGAUCAAUUAUGAGAUCCACGAUAAAGAACUUCUUGCGAUUGUGGAUUCCUUUCAAGAAUGGCGUCAUUAUCUAGAAGGCGCUUCUAGUCCAGUCACUGUGUAUACAGAUCACAAGAACCUCGAGUAUUUCAUGUCAGCACGCGUGUUGAAUCGUCGUCAAGCUCGUUGGAGUAUGUCUUUGUCAAGAUUCGAGUUCAUUAUCACUUAUCGGCCAGGAAAACAACAAGGUUUAUCUGAUGCCCUAUCUAGACGUUCUUAUUUUGCACCAAAAGAAGGAGAUGUAGUUUUUGAGCAACAAAGAACGGUCUUCUUGAAACUGGAGCAAUUUCAUCUCCGAGCAAUGAAAUCAACAUUGACUGUUGAUUCAACUUUUCUCAAGCAAAUCCAGUCCAGUAUGUCCUCAGACCCUCUUGUUUAUGAUAUCGAGAAUAAUUCUUCCAAGUCUCAUGAUCCUUCUAAGUUUGAGUUCAAGAAUAAUCUAUUAUAUUUUGAAAGACGCCUAUAUGUUCCAGAAGGAGAAGCACGUUUACGUGUUCUUCAAGCACGUCAUGACUUUCCAGCAGCAAGGCACUUUGGAUAUAAUAAGACUUUGGAACUCAUAUCAAGAGAUUUUUGGUGGCCACAAAUGUGGAAGUCAGUCAAAGACUUUGUACAAUCAUGUGAUAUUUGUUCAAGAUCAAAAAUUCCUCGUCAUCGACCUUACGGACUUCUUCAGCCAUUACCUAUACCAGAACAACCAUGGUCUUCUGUUUCUAUGGAUUUCAUCACAGAUCUUCCAAGCUCAAGAUCUUAUGAUUCUAUAUUUGUGAUAGUAGAUCGUUUUACCAAGAUGGCACAUUUUGUGCCAUGUACAAAAUCUAUCACAGGUGAAGAAACAGCUAAGCUUUUCAUUGAUAAUAUCUAUCGCUAUCAUGGAUUACCUAAAGAUAUCAUAUCGGAUAGGGGAACUCAAUUUGUGUCAAGAUUUUGGAGGACCCUUUUCAAGAUUUUAAAAGUGGACAUAAAGCUAUCUUCGGCUUUCCAUCCUCAAACUGAUAGACAAACAGAGCGCGUAAACCAAGUCUUGGAGCAAUAUUUAAGGUGUACUAUCAACUACCAACAAGAUGAUUGGACAAUCCUUCUGCCAUUGGCAGAGUUUGCUUAUAAUAAUACGGUACAUUCUUCCACGCAACAAACACCUUUCUUUGCCAAUUAUGGCUAUCAUCCACGACUUGAUACUUUUGAUUUUUCAAAAGUUGAUAAUCCUGCAGCAGAAGAUAUGGCAAAUCGGUUGUCAGAGUUACAUGCAAUAAUGAAGACACAAUUGAAGGAAGCUCAAGAACGACAAAAGAUAAACGCAGAUCUAUAUCGUAAGGAGCAACCACAGAUCAACGUCGGUGAUAAGGUAUGGCUACUUCGUCGCAAUAUCAAGACUACUCGACCUUGUGACAAGUUGGACUAUCGUAGGCUUGGCCCCUUUUCUGUUUCUGAACAGAUCAACCCAGUUGCAUAUCGGUUACAUCUACCAGAGUCAAUGAAGAUCCAUCCUGUAUUCCACGUAUCUCUUCUUGAACCAUAUAAGACAGUGGAUAUACAAGGAAGAAGACAAAUGCCACCGCCUCCUAUAGAAGUAGAUAAUAAUGAAGAAUUUGAGGUGGAAGAGAUAUUAGACUCAAGGCGGCGCCGAAAUAAGCUGGAAUAUCUUGUUCAUUGGCGCGGAUAUGAUAUUAGUGAACGCACAUGGGAGCCAUCCAGGAAUCUAGCAAAUACAUCAACUAAAGUCAAAGUUUUUCAUCAACGACAUCCAUCAAAACCAAGAUGAAAAUCUCUCUUAUAAAAGAGACAAGAUUGAGGCAAGAUAACAUUCAAUUUCCUAUCCUUGUUUGUAACUUCUUUGCAUUUGUGACGCUAAUUAGAUGGAGAGCCAACAACCAGCAGAUUCAACUCAAGAACCUUCGUUUGCUGACCUGCCGGACGAGACAUUGCGAUUGUCACAACCUUCAAGACGACGCAACCGAGAUGAUGACCCUCAAAAAUGACAUGUUCUUCCUCGAAUAGAUGGUGAGAUACAACGCAUUUGGUAUCACGACCUUGGAAGAGAUUCUCGAUGUUUGGUGAUAUUAUUGGAGAUAGGAACGACUCCUGAUGGUGUUUCAAAUGUAUUAUUUGAAGGAAGUUAUGAAGGCCUCAACAGUGAUCAAAUAACAGGGUGGUCUUCUCGCCCUGGAAUGGGACACUAUCGAUGGCUAAGAGGACCCAUCAACUAUCUUCGAAGAGAACAAAGAUUAGAGUAUGUAGCAAAUACAAUUCGCCGCAUAUUAGAUUUUCUCAAUAUAUAAUCACCGCUCCUCGUGGAACUCGUCCCUAGAAGGGGAGGUAAUGUCACGGACAUACAUAUAAUUACCUAUAUGAAUAGAUAAAAGUAUGUAAAAGUAGAUAAAAGUAGGUUAAUUGUGUAAUAUCUUCUAGAGAAGCUUCUUAGAAGCUUCAUAGACGCUGCUUUGACUUUAUAGGAGUCUAUAGUUGACUUUUAGGCUAGAAACUUGGUCAACAAGUUAGCCAUGUGCCACACAUGUUGGAAGCUUAAAGAACAAGCUAACUACGUGGUCCAUCCAUAGAAAACUUGCCUUAUAAGCAAAGGCAUGUGGCCUAGAAAGUCAACAUAUAUUGGAGGUCUUAUAGAACAUCGCCAUGUGGCUUCUAGUUAGAUAGUAUAUAUAGAGGCAAGAGUGAAGCCCUCUUCACUCUUGUCAACUCCUUUCUUGCUUCUAGUCCAGGUUCAAGAGUCUUUAGUUUCUUGUCUUGUGGCAAUAGCCAUUCCAGUUUCCUUUUAAUAUACCUACUUGUUUAUAUUAUAUCGAGAUAGCCUUUUGGUGUAUAUUUUUCCUCAUCGAGUCUUUGUCCUUGACAAUCACACAUAUUAGUAGCUUGUGGAAUAAGCUAAUUAUAUGAUGCACAUAUAGAAAACUUACCUUGCAUGUUAAGAUAUAUGUCUUACAAAGUCAAUACAAGUUGGAUAUCCCUAUAUAUUAAUUUAGUUUCAUAUAUAUAUUAAAUUAUUCCAUAGUUGGUCUUCCAAUUGGAUUCUCUCUUGUACUCCAUUAUCUCUAUUUUUGGCUUAUUUUUGAAUAUUAUUACAAAUUUGGAUUAAUUUGAAAGUUUGAUUGCAAUAACCAUUGUUGCAAGGAGGUUUGUAACCAAGUAGCAUAAGCUUUGCUUUAAUUUUAUUUAUAGGUAUAAUAUUGAUGACAUUAGAUGUAUAUAUGUUGGAAAACACAAUGUUUAGAAGUUACUUAUAGAAGCAAGUAGUCUAAAUUGAGUAGCCGAAAUUAGCAAGGAGGUGUAAAGAUGAAAAAUAAAUCUUAGUCAUGUCUGGCUACUGUUGUAUUGUUGAUAAGACAAUUUUCAUGAACUUCAAAUUUUGUCAAGUUUUGUAAAUGAUAUUGCAAGAGAUUGAAGAUUAAUAUUAAUAUUACCUAAAAAUCAUAAUUUAAUCUGAAAAUUGAUACUCUCUAAUCUCAAUUGAGACUUGAAAUUUGGAUCAUUUUGCCAAGGACCAAGAUAGAGUUUGUAUGACAACAAAAUUUGCUACCAAGGGAUUAAAGAUGAAAAUUAUUUGUACACCAUUUAUUGUGAAAGGGUAAUAAAAGAGUAAUGUAGAGCUAUAAGUAUGUCAUCAAAAAAUAAAAAUACAACUUCAAUAUACUUGUUUUUUACAAACAUUACAAGUAAAAUGCAAACAAAUUUGAAUUUUAAAAUAAGCAUUGAAAAGAGAAAAAUAAUUUAUAUAGGUUUACAAAAUUAUUUUGUAUAAUAAAAUUACAUUUUUAUACAAAUACACUCUAUUUAUUUUUAUAUUGACAUAAUUAUUUGUAAUUAUGGAUAUAAUAUUUUUUAAAUUAUAAGUCACAUAUAUAUUUAGAAAUAUAUAUAUUUAUAAGUAUAUACUUAUGUAUGUAUAUAUAUACUAAUAUACAUAAUUUUCUAUAUAAUUUUAGAUUAUAAAUUCUUUUAUUUCGAAUAUCUUUUAUAUAUUUAAAAUGUAUAUGAAGAAAAAUAAUAUAUUUCCAUCUUUAUUACUUCUAAAAGUUUUAAAUUUUAAAAUUUUAAAGAAUUAUGAAAAUUUAUAUAUGUAUAUAUAGAUAGAUUAUUAAAUAAAAUAUAUUAAAAAUAUUAAUAGAAUUUUUUUAUUAAAGUAAAAAUAUAUUGAAUAAGUAAUAAACUAUGGUGAUAUAAGCAAAAAUUAUAAUAACAUAUGGUGGAUAACAAAUUAUAGUGGUAAUAGCAAAAACUAUGGUAGGAUUAGCAUUAACUUGUAUAUAUAUAUAUAUAUAUAUAUAUAUAUAUAUUACUACAUAGACAUACAUACGUAAUAAAAUAUUAAAAUAAUAAUAUAUUAUAUGGAUGAUAAUAAUUAUUUUAUAAUUUUUUUCAAAAUAUAUGAAUUUAUUUUUAGAAUAGUAUUAAUAAACUAUAGAUAUAUAUAUUAAUUAUGAUUAUAUAUGGUGUAGAAUGGAUAGAAAUUUGUUUUUGUAAGUUAUGGGUAAAGUAGAUUAAUCAGUUCUAGUGUUGUCAAUUUAAUAGGUUGGAUGAUUGAAUUAGUUGUAAAAAAUAGUUAAGUAGGGAAUAACGGUUAGAAUCUAGAAUUUUAGAAGUAAAGCAUAAGUAAGUUAAAGAAGAAAUGAGAGGGGCCAAACUAUGAUAGUCAUGAGCUAGGGUAAGUUUAGUGCUACCUCUUUGUUUUAUUUAUUUUCUUUGUAAUUGAAGAGUAAUGGAUAGUUUGUGAAUACUGUGAAGUAAAUCGAUGGAAUAAAUCAGAGAUUGAUUUAUGAGAUAUUGAGUAUGUAAUUGGAGUAUUGUGUGAUUGAAUUAUUAUGAGAAGAUAUUGGAAGUUUGUUAUCAGAUUCUAUCGAAGAUUGAUUUUAGAUGGAAGAUUAUGAUUGUUGUUAAUUGAAAGUUGUGUGUGUUUUGACAGAAGAAGUUUGUGCUUAUAAAAAUUAUUUGAAGCAAGAUUGAUUAGAGAAAAAGAUUGUUAUUUCUAAUAUUGGAUGGAAUUUAUAUAUUUUGAGUGGUCUUUUGAAAGUACAGGAUUGCACAUUGUUGUUAUCAAUUUGUGAAGGAGUAUUAUUAGUAGGAGAAAGCAUUGUAAUAUUCUUUGGUAUUUUAGUGGUUCGGAAUACGAUUAAUUGUGUGAUCCUAACAUGUAAGCUCAUGCGAUUAGUCUUUUCUUAUGUUUGAAUCUCGCUCUGUAAGUUUAUUCUAAAAGAAAUUUGUAGAAUAAAUAAAACGACAAUCACAUUUUGGCACUACUGCUAAGGAAUCUUAAGGACCUCGAUUAUUAUCCUCAAUCUUAUUUUAUAGCUGGAUUUAUUGUUUAUGAUUGUUGAAAUUGAACGGAACAUUACACUACUGAUAUGUUUGCCUUAACUGUUUGUAAUUUCCAUAGACUAGAGCAUAGUCAUCAUUGACUCUUGGAUUAGGACAUUCAUUAGCAUAAUGACCAAUCUACCUCCAAUGAUAACAACAAAGUAGUCUUCUUCCAGCUCCAUCAAGCAUAUUGGGUGUCUCCACCAAUAUAUAUCGAUUGGGCCUAUUCCAAAUUGAAUUGGAAAAUGAUCUUAGUUGUCCUAUUGGUACAGAGGUAAUUGGAAUUGAUUGAGAUAAUGGAAAAUAUUGUUGAUAUCUCGACUAUUACUUCACAUAAUUAUGGAAGUUUGAUGCAAAACUUAGAUUAUAAUUUGGACCUUGAAAGUUAUUAAAUGUUCAAUUUUAUCUAUUUGAAUGAUUUUUGUUCUAGCCAAAUAUAUUUCCUGUUUGAACUUGAUUGAUAUUCCACUGAGUGGGUAGGAUCAUGGUUUCAUUACCAAACUGUUGUUGCUUUUUCUAAUUCCAACAAUUAGCUCCGAAAUGCUUUCCUCCACAGAAUGUACAUUACACCAUCAUUUGUAGAGGAGAUGGGCAUUCUAUCACCAAAUGACCUUGGCCCUUACAAUUAUUGCACCAUACAUUGGGUCCAAUAUUGGUAGAUUUUUUCUUCUUUUCUUUAUCUUUUACCAUAUUUACUGCCAAAACCUCCAUUUUUUUAAACAAAUUUAACAAUAAGGUUUCAUUAGAAUCCUUUAGAGCUAAUACUAUUGGUAACUCUUUCGUAGUCAAUGAUUGCUGAUGAUAAAAGAAGUAUGGAGAUUGCGACGUUGCCAUCUUUGGUGAUAUAGCUUGCAAUAUGAUAACAUUAACUAUUCUUUGUGUAUUGACACUUGAAUUGGUACCUGUAUCAAACAUUUUGGGAUAACUAAUUAUUGUUCCAUUCCAUACCGAGAUUUGAUAACUUCCUUGAAUUCAAAUCAUAAUAGCUCUCAUAGUUAAAAAUUGGUCAUAAUGACAUUUCUUCCAAAUCUUGGCUUGAUUAAGAGAUGUAAUUACUAUAUUUGAUUGAGCUUCUUUUAUAAAUAUUUUUAGUUUGGGUGGGUAUAAUCCAUUGAUUAAUAUGGAUAAUAAAAAAGCCUCAGACAUUUGAUGAUUCAGCCACUAGUGGAAUAUAUUUGCCACACGACCAUGAUAUAAUUCCAUUGCCUCUUAUAGACUCAUUUUUCUAUUCAUUAAUCUUUCUUGAAGUUGAUCUUCAAAACUAAUUAGGCAAAAAUGGAUUAAAAAUAUAUUCUUUAAUGCCUCCCAAUUAGAAAAUUGACCCAUGGGUUGAUAAGAAGAAUAGCAAUUUUGUAGAGUUUUGUUAAGUAGUUUUUUUUAGAUAUGUAUCAAUUUUGUGUUUACAAAGACGUUGCAUAGUUAGGAGUGGGGUCAUGUAGAAUGGAUAAAAAUUUGUUUCUCUAAGUUAAGGGUAAAGUAGAUUAAUGAAUUCUAGAGUUAUCAAUUCAAUAGGUCGGAUGAUUGAAUUAGUUGUGAAAAAUAGUUAAAUAGGAAAUAACGGUUAGAAUCUAGAAUUUCAGAAGUAAUACAUAAAUAAGUUGAAGAAGAAAAGGGAGGGACUAAACUGUGAUAGUCAUGAGCUAGGGUAAGCUUGGUGCUAUCUCUUUUUUUAAUUUGUUUUUUUGUACUUGAAGAGUAAUGGAUAGUUUGUGAAUAUUGUGAAGUGAAUCGAUGGAAUAAAUUAGAGAUUGAUUUAUGAGAUAUUAAAUAUGUAAUUGCAGUACUAUGUGAUUGAAUUAUUAUGAAAAGAUAUUGAAAGUUUGUUAUUAGAUUUUGUAGAAGAUUGAUUCUUGAUAGAAGAUUAUGAUUAUUGUUAAUUGAGAGUUGUGUAUGUUUUGACAAAAAAAGUCUAUGAUUUUAAAAAUUGUAUGAAGCCAGAUUGGUUGGAGUGGAAAACUAUUAUUUUUGAUAUUGGAUGGAAUUUGUGUAUUUUAAGCAGUCUUUUGAGAGUGUAGGAUUGUACAUUGUUGUUAUCAGUUUAUGAAGGAGUAUUGUUAGUAGAAGAAAACAUUGUAGUGUUCUUUGGUGUUUUAGUAGUUUGAAAUGUGGUUAAUUGUGUGAUCCUAACAUAUAAGCUCAUGCGGUUAGUCUUUUCCUAUGUUCAAAUCUCUCUCUACAAGUUUAUUAUGAAAAAAAUUUGUAGAAUAAGUAAAAUGACAACCACAUAUAGCUAUCUAAGAUUUAAAUUAAAUUACAUAUAAAGUUAUAAUGAAAGAUAGAUCUCUAAAAUUGAAAUUUUGAAUUUUCUUUUAAAUACCAUCUUUUAAUUAAUAAUUUUUAAAAUAAUAUAAGUAAUCUAUUAAUUAAUAUAAUUUUAUCAAAUAAAUCUUAAUAUAGCAUAUUUUUAUUAAAAUUAAAAAUUAGAUUAUUUUUUUGAUAUUAUAUAUAUAUAUAUAUAUAUAUAUAUAUAUAUAUAUAUAUAUAUAGAACUAAAAUUUUUAAAAAUUAUAUUAAUUUCUUAUGUAAAAAUUAUUUUUAUAUUUAAAAUUAAAUAUAAGAUUAAUUUUUGAAGAUUUUUAUAAACAAAAUAUAUAAUUUUAUAUGGCCAAGUUCAUUUAAAUUAGUCUUAUAAUUCUUUUAAAUUUUUAAUCAUAUUUUUAGACUAUUUUAAGAUAGAUAUUUUAUUUUUUUAUUAAGAAAUUUUUUAUUUCUUAUUUUAAAAAAAUAUAUAUGUAUAUAAAUGUACAUAUAUAAUUGUGCCUUUAUAAUAAUAUUAUUAUAGUUUUUAUAUUAUAUAUUUUUUCAAUAUUUAUUUUUUUAUGGCUUAUAAAAAAUUAUAUAUAAAAAUAAAAGAAAAUAUUAUUUAAUUAAAUGAUAAAAUAUAUUUUUAUUUUUGGUGCUGCUUUUGAAUAAAAAAAAUUUCUAGAGAAGUGCAAUCUUAACAACAUUCUUAAUGAUUAGAUAAUGGUUUAUUUUUUAGUACUAUCAAUAAAAAAAAUAUAAUAAUAAAAGCAUAAUCCUACUUUAAUAAGAUCAUGGUUGUAAAAACUAGCUAUAUUAGAAGUUUGUUAUGUCUACUUGUAAUAAAUGUAUUUAGAAUAUGAAUACUAUAGAAGAUUAAUGUGUUUAUAAUCACAAGCUUGUGGUUUUUCAAUGACUACGACUUUUUUGACAUUAUAUAAAAAAAAGCAUAAGCUUGGCUUAGAUAUUGCUUUGUGAGAUGCAAUCAAUAAGUAGAUCUAUAAAUAUAACUAUUUGAAGCUUUAAAUAAAAAGAGUUGCCAUGAAGAACCAUGUCAUUGGUAAAAUCAAUAUUCUUAGUCACUUUGAAAAGGCAAUUAAUAUUUUAUAUAUAUAUAUAUAUAUAUAUAUAUAUAAUUUAAAUGAACAACAAAAGUAUUAUAAUUUCAAUGAAGUAUUAAAAAUAUUGUGCAAUAAGACAAUAUAACUCUCAAACUUUUGAUGUGAAAGGAAAAUAUAUAUAUAUAAGUAUAUUUAUAUAUACUUUUUAAUAAAAAAUUUAAUAAUAUUGAAUUGGUACUAUAAACUUUUUAACUUAUAAAGCAAUUUUAGUAUUUGCUUACAACAAUUAUUAUUAUUAAUAUUAUCAUUUCAUUUUUUAUUGCACAUUAUAUUUAGUUAGGUACCAAUAUAAUUUGUAGCUCUAUGCUCAUAAUCAAAAUUUUAACAAACAUGGAUUUAAUUUCAUUUCAACCUAUCUACAAGAAUCUAUCAAUGUAACUCUCAAAUUCAAGGCUUAGCUCAAUUUUAGCUUCUCGUUAACAUUUCAAUAUCAAUUACUAUAGUACCAUUGUUUGUUGUAAAAAUAUUAAGUGUAUCUUAAGUAAUCUCUUUAUGUAACUUUAUUGAUUUUGACUAUACUUGUGAUCAUACUUUCAACCAAAGUGUACAAAUAGAGGGUUAUUUCUGUGCUUGAAAAGAAUAGUUACUUUGCUAUAUAAUUGAUUGUUUGAAUGUAGAUAUUUAAUGCUAAAUUCUAGUGGUUAAUAUUGAAAGCUUAGUAAGUACAAUGCCUCAUGAUAUCACUCAAGAUAAGUAUUAAAAUUAAUUAGUGUUAUAAAAAAUUACAAUGUAGCAUAAAUAUCAAGAACAUGCAACAGCUAUAAAUGCUUACACACUAUUAUUCUUGUAGCUCGAACUUACAAUGGUGCCAAUUGUCAUUAUUAUUAUUACUUUAAUAUCUACUGUUAGUAUAUUCCUCAUAUUUGCUUCAACAAUACCUCAAAUUCAAGUCAAAGUGUUGAUCUUAAGAGUUAAUUGGCUCAUCAUGUGCAUGUAUUUCUAAAUGAGUAGAUCCAAAUUACUAAUUACAAAAGCAAUAACUUUUGAAAUUUUACAUUUAAUUAACCAAUCAUAGUAUUAUAUUAAAAAUAAAGUAAAUAGUUGUAUCUUAUUGAGAGGAUACAAUCCUUGUGGUUGCAUCUUCUUUGACAAAAUAAACUAUGUACAAACCUCAUAACUAAAAAGAAUUGUACAUAAAUUUAUUUUCUUUCAAAAUCCUAUAGUUUUAAUAUGGUAUUAGAGCAAAAUUUGAAAGAUCAAUGAAAUUAAUUUCAAAAAAAUAAUUUCAAAAAAAUAAAAAAGAAGUGGAUAAAAGAUAUUCUAUAUAGCAACUAGAUAUCAAGUUACUUAUUUUUUCUUAAAAAAUGGCUUUAAGUAGCGUUGCUAUAAAAAAAUGGCCUAAGUUUGAUAAAAUGUGGUAUAUUUUCUAGAAAAAAAAAAUCCAAAUGACGUUCAUAAUAGAAAACAUAUAGAAUCUAAUUUUUGGAAUGAAAAAAAAUCAUUACCAACUAUAGAAGUAAAUGCAAGGACAACAAUAUUAUCAACAAAUCAAACUAAAAUAUUUAUUGAAAAAAAGAAGGAUCCUAUUGUUUUAGCAAUAAUAUAGAAUUGUGUAGAAAAUUUAAUUUUUUUGCAUGUGGAAUCGUAUAAAAUAACCAAUAAAUCAUGGCUAAUUUUUAAAAAUAUAUAAUUUGUUAAUAAUAUAAUUAUUUAAGUACAUCUAUAAGAAAAAUUCAUCAUACAAAAAAUAAAAGUCAAAGAAUCAAUCAUACAAUACUUAUACAAUUUCAAGAUCCUAUUUCAAUAAUGUCAUACCAUAAGAAUAAUAAUUCUUCUACAAAUAGAAGUUUGUAUGUUAAUAAGACCCAUGCUAUCAUAAUAUUGUACCAUUAUUCAAAUGCUUCAAACCAUUGAGACAGUAAUACUUCCAACACUUAUUAUAAUCUUAUUUGAAGAAGAAAUAGCCAUAAAAGGUGCAUCUUUUAAAUUAUAAGCCCUAUUUGUAGGGUGCAAAGAUAAAAAAAAGUACCAAUGAUAAUCUGUUUAUAAACCACAUCAAAAAGAUAACAAGACCUCUUAAAGUUGAAACUAACCUACAAAUCCUUGCUUCUAUUGCAAGCAAAUAGAAUAUUGAAAAUUCAAAUGCUUCAAAAAUGAAUCCAAAGCUAUUCAAAUUUAGCAACAAUUAGUCACUAAAACAAAAAAAAUAUAUCAACAUAGAAGUAAAAAAAAUAUAAAAGAAAUAUCUCUAAUAUUCUUUAUCUAUAUAUAUCUCAAAUAAGUAUUUUGUUUGAAAAAUCUUUAUAACUAAGAGCCACAAAAGAUGAAUAAUAGUUCAUCAUUAUAAUUACUACACAUCAUUUGGUAUACAACAAAAAUAAAUAUAUUAACUUUGAAUCAUUUUUAUCCAGUGCAAAAAAAUUUCAUCUUGAGAAUGAUAUCAUUUUCUAUAUUUGUGGCUAAUAAAAGGUAGAAAUCAUAAUAGUCAAUUGCCACACUUUUUACCUCACCAAUACAUUAUAUAUCAUUGAUUUUUAAAAGAAACUUUUUUAUAAGCAACUAUAACCAAUAAAAUAAAAAAAUUAUAAUUAAAAAUAAAUUAUGCCAUCUAAUUUUAAGAUAUGAUACAAUCAUUGCUAUAUAUUUUCUUUAAGUAAAUCUCUACCUACUUAAUAUAAUAUUGCUUCAAAAUUUUCAUAUUGCUGUUCAUAUAAUUUCUAUCUUAGAUGUCUAUUAAUCUUUGUUUAAAAUGAUACCAUAGCCAUUAUUGCACUCUUUUACCACCAAUCUUAAUAUAUACAAAUAUAUUGCUUCUUUUAGAUUCAACACUAGUUCUACCUUGUCUAAUACUAUUUGUGCAUGUUAGAGUCUUACUGGCUUCUUCAACAUUAGUAUUUGUAUCAAAACUAUGAGCAACAAAAUGAGCUAUUCUUUGCCAAUAUUAUUGUUAUUACACAAUGUCUUUUGAUUAAUGAUCUUUGGCUCUUGAUUUUGAAUCUUUUUUUUAUACUAUCCAUGGGUAACACAUAUUUGUUCAAUUUAGUAACUUUUUGGUACUUUGUACUAUCACUUGAGUUGACAUGUUCAAUUCUAAUAUGGCCACCAAAUAUACAAUGCCCUCUCUCUCCAAAUUAUGUAUAGUUCUAUGGACCUUUAUCAAAACCAUGGCCGUUAUUGCUAUGCCUAUGGCACAACACAAUUGUAUCAAAUUGGCAACCAAAAAAAUAUUCUUCCUAUUGCUACCAAUUUCUUUGAUUUAAUCCUUAUUUCUUAUGCUGUUAAUAACAUUAAAAAGAGCUCACACCUUUGAUAUAAAUGCCUUGAUUACAUCAUCAUCAAUUAAUUAAAGUAGUUUUUUUAAAGCUCUAUUGUAAUAAGUUUGGCAUCAAAUAUGUAUCACAUUAUGUAUGUUCUAUAUGCCUUCAUGGCAAAUAAAUGAUAACAAAAUAUUAAAAACUUACAACAUCUUGUCCUUUACAACCUUUUUAAUUAAUCUACUUUUAUAUAAGUUAUCACAUUGCAAUAUCCGCUUUAUUCAACUACAAGCACUAUGUCAGUUCUAUCAAUUAUUUUUCAUGCUAUACAAUGCUUUGCUUGAUUUACCAAAAAAUGAAUAUUUUUAUGCUUUUAAAAUAUUCUAUCUUUAAGGUAAAAAUCAAGUUCAAUAUAAAUAAUGUGUAUUUCACUUUAAUCAAGGAAAAGAAAUAUUCUUCUUUCAAAUUUGAUUAAUAUUUGAUGGCCAAUAGAAUUUGAUCUUAACUUACCACUACUAUUGAAGAUCAGUAAGAUCUUGCAUAAUUGCCACCACAUAGAAUGAAAUCAUAGUAAGUUGUUAGUAGUCAAAGACAAGAAAAGAUUAAAAGAUGUCACUAUGGUGGCAACUAGGAUUUUUAUAUAGCAGAUAGAUAAAGAAGAAUUUAGGAUUUAGUUGAAUGUAAGAAAAAAUGAUGAAAAUAAUUGUAGAUGAAGUUCAUCUAUAAUAGAUAUAAAUUCUAGCUAUAAGCAAAGAGUAUUUGAAGUCAUAGUCAUCUUACUCCACACUUCACUUUGUGUGUAACCUUGCUAAUGCUAAAUGUUGUGGCUUCUAAUUUUUUUUAUUUUUUAGGUUAUGUAUCCACUAACAUUUUUUUGUGAAUUUUGAAGUUAUAUGAAGUCUUUGUUGUUGUAUGGAAUAGAUCAUGUUAUUUUUGUUGGUUUUAGGAUUUAGAAUAUCCUAAUUUUCAUAUUCAGAUUUAGAUCUAGAUCUUAUUUUGCUCUUACUUAUUGUUAAGAGUAUUUUGAAUUUGGGAUAUAUUUUACACCUUAAGGUAAUAUCAUAGAACACUUAUAAUUUGUUUUCUUGCUGAGUUAGAUUUUUAAUGGACUAACUUUGUAGUUUUAUGUGUUGAAGAAGCUUAAGAUACUUAAAAGUCCUCUUAUGGUACUUAGAAGUGAUUUGUGAGCACAAAAGUGAUAUAAGAAUUACAAAUCUGGUUUUAGACUUUAAUAUAAUUCAUUGGACUUGUGAAAAGCCUUAGAAGUGAAGUUGAGAGUAUUAGAGAGUGAAAACACUAGUUUAUUCACAAAGAGGGCAUUUUAAGAUUUUAAGGCAGCAACACCUUCUUGCUAAUUUUGAGAGCUUUAGGGCUAUUUUCCUUGAUAUUUCUAGAUACAUCUUUUCUUUAGAUAUGGCUUCAAGUAAAGGUGAAGGCUUGAGAGGAAUUAAAAAAAUUUAGAAGUGAAAAUUUCUACCAUUGAAAGUUCAAAAUAAAACUUUUUUUUUUUGACUUUUUUAGACCUAUGGAAUAUAGAAGAUGAAAGUGAAGAGCCUCCAAGCAUGCAUGCUGAUACAAAAGAGAAGAAAGACUACAAAAAUUGUGAAAAGAUGGCCUUUGGAUUGAUUGCAUGUAAUAUUAAUGAAGCCAAUUUUUUCCACAUUAUCUCUUGCAAAGGCCUGGCAGAAGUAUGGAAGACUCUUUGCAAUAUCUAUGAGAGCAAGAACUUAUCCAACAUCAUCUAUACAAAGAAGAAGUUCCUUACAUAUAAGAUGGAAGAAGGUGAGGACGUCAUGAUACACAUCAAUAAGAUGAAGGUACUUGCAAAUCAUCUUAUAAUUAUUGACAAGCCCUUAGAAGAGGCAAAUGUUGUCAUGUCUCUAUUCAUAAACUUAUAUAAUCCUACAACUAUCUCAUUGUGGCUUUAGAAUCCAUCAAAAUGAAAGAACUUACAAUGGAUUAUGUGACAGGAAGACUUAGCUAUGAAGUAACCAAAAAAAAAGAAAAAAAGCGUCAAAGUGAAGAUUCAGCAUUCUACUUAUAAUAAGGCAAGGGCAAUUAUUCAAACCAAUGAGAAAAAUGUCAAAACUUACUUCAUUUGUAGCAAAGUAGGAUAUUUUUCUUGAAAUUUCUAUAAAAAUUAAAAAUUAAAAAAAAUAUAAAUAGUGUACAUGAUAAGUUUGGAAGAUAAGAUUAUGCAUUUAUGACAAUAAAUGCUUAAAAAAUAUCUUCCAUGUAUCCAAGUUGAAGAAAAACCUACUUUUGAUGAGUAAACUUGUAAUGGAAGGUUUUAUGGUUCUAUUCAAUAUGAAUGGAUUUUUUGUAAAAACAUUGUAUGAAAAUAUAAUUAUGAAAGGCUCUAAGGAGGGAAAUUUAUGCUACUUCAAAUAUAAGAAGGUCAAUAGAAUAAAAAUAGGUAUAUUUACUAAAUUUACAUUAAACUAAGAUAAGUUGAAUAUAUAGCAUUAUUGCCUUGGCCAUUUAAAUAUAAAGAACAUUGUAAUUGUCGUUUUACUUAUUCUUCAAAUUUCUUUCAGAAUAAAUCCGAAGAGGGGGUUUCUAACACAAGAAAAGACUAUCGCAUGAGCUUAUACAUUAGGAUCAUAUAAUUAAUUGUAAUCCAAACCACUAAAAUACUAAGAAACACUACAAUGCUUUCUCCCAGUAACAAUACUCCUUCAUCAAUAGAUAACAAUAAUAAGCAACCCUGCACUCUCAAAUGACCGCUCAAAUUAUAUAAAUUCCAUCCAACACUAGAAAUAAUAGACUUCACUCCAACCAAUUUAGAUUCACACAAUUUUGUAAUCACAGACUUCUUUUGUCGAAACACAUAGCUCUCAAUAAAUAACAAUCAUAAUCUUCCAUCCAUAAUCAAUCUUCCAAUAAUUUUUUAUAUAAUUCAAUCACACAAUACUCUAAUUACAUAAUCAAUAACUCAUAAAUUAAUUUGUGAUUUAUUCCACAGAUUCACUUCUCAGUAUUCAAAAACUAUCCAUUACUCUUCAACAACAAAGAAACAAAGAGGUAGUACCAAGCUUACCCUGGCUCAUGACUAUUAUAGUCUGGUACUCAGACUAACUUCUACAACUCCUAUAUAUUUACUCUCUAUUCUCAAAUUUUAAUUGUAAUUCUAUAAUUAACUGCUUUUAAUAAGUAAGUUAAGCAUUUUUCCUCUUGAACUAAUUAUUCUAUAGACUAUUAGUUUAUUUAUCAAUAUCUUACAAAAAUGAACUAAUAUCUAUUCUAUAUAGCCCCACUUCUAUCUGUGCAACGUCUUCGCAAACAUACAAUUGUUAUUUUUUAAAAACUACUUAACAAAAAUCUACAAAAUUACUAUUUCUUCUUGCCCACUCGAUUGAUUACUUGUCGCAUUAACUAUUGUUGGUUCCACUCAUUUUGGUUUUAAUUAUAAAUCUUCUCUCUCCUCCAAUCCUUCCAUCAACUCCUUCGUCAAGUAGGUUGAGAGAUCUUCAUUAUACUCUCCCAAUUCACAGACUUGAUCUUCCAGUUUUAAGAUCCGGGUAUCAGGGAGUUCCAAUUGAUGUUGUUGAUGACUCAUCUAUUUUGGAACAUCUUCAAUUGAUGCUUGUGACCUGCUUUUCAUGAUUAAUUCUUUCGUUAAUUUCGCCACUUGAAUUUGUAAAACUUUGAUUUUGGACAUCAACUUCUCUGUUUUGCAUCUGGAUUGGUCAUUCAAUGUUACUUUCUCUUUUGUCAAUAACUCGACCUUUUCUCGUUCGACUUAUAAUUGGUAUUUGAGUUUCUUCUAUUUCAAAUCCCAUAUCUUACAAAUCUAGAUCAAUUCAUUCCAUUGUCCUUCAACAAUCCCUAAUAUGUAUUCUUUUUCUUGCAUCCAAGCUUCUUAUUUCUUUAAAAAUCUCCUCUCUAAUAUCAACUUGAAUUCCGUAUUUUCUUGGAGGAUCCAUUCUUUGUCUACAAUUUUUUGGUUUUGCUUUCAAAUCACCUUCUUAUUGCCUUGCAAUUUUUGUUUGCUACUGUCCUUUACAUCUAAUGCUUACACUAUACAAUGUAUUUCUGAAAUAUGCUUCAAUAGAGCAUUCUUAAGAUGUAAUCCUUGAAGCAAUCGACCUUAUGGAAAUACCAAUUGAUUGAUAUCCAUUGUAACUAGGGCUUCAUUCUCCUCUCUUAUUGCAAAACAAAUUAGAAUCCGCUUCGAUUCAAUAUCUAGAAUGAUCUCUUGUGCCACUGCACGACUUGACUCCUUAAUUUUGUAUAUUAUAUCCGCUACAUUGACAUUCUAUGCCACCCAAUUCCGUUCUCUCUGUAGAGGCAUUAGCAUUGGCAUAGGGCUUUCUUUGACUGGCGGUGUUUGACACAAUGUGUACAUAAUCACAGCAGACACAUAGUUGGAACUAAGUAAAUAUGUGAACUUUCCCAAUUUCCACUUAGCUCCUAUCUCUGCAUCAAUAUGAGUAGUUACGUAAGCUAUCCAAUUGAACACCAUCUCUUCCAGUAUUCCUAUUGUUGCAUAUAAUAACCGUUUGGACAUAUAUAUGGAAUAUCGGUAUAAUCAUAACUGCCUCACCACAAAGCUGAAUCAUUCUACGAGUUUCAGUGAAAGUGCUUCAGCAGUCCACCAACCUUGGCUCCUCUCAAUGGAUGACAUAUCUCCCUUGAAAAAUCUUCCGGGGCUAAAAUCGCUUGAUUCAUCGGCUUCUACCGUAAUUUCUCCAAUGAACAAAAACAACACCUUUUCCAAGAUUAUUUCGUCAAUCUUGAUAAUUCUUCUUUGUACGACAUUCGAUCCAUCCUUGGUGUCAUAAUUUAUGAUGUAUUCCUCUACUAAUGCCAUAUUGAUUGGUGGUAAGCAAUCGAACUGCUGUAAAAAUUGAAACAACUGCAUAUUUUGAAAGUCUCUUUUUCUUCUUGAUGUCCAAUCAAUAUCUAACUUCAUUGGUUCCAUAUUUGUAAUCAUUAUCACAGACAGUGGUUUUGACGCAUAUUUAGCUCUCACAUUUUGGCCACUAUCAUCUUUAUUUAUAGCUCGCUUUGUACUUUCAAUCACCAUGAUGCUCCCUCUCAAGUUCUUAAUUUCUUAACUGGAACUGUUACUCUCAAAUAUGCAAGCAACACAAGAAAUGGCAAUUUGAGAAAAAAAACCAAAAAUGACAACACAGAAUGACCUCUAACUGGUGCCUCACUCCUAUUCUCUUAUUAAUGGUGAACAUGACAACAUGUUACCCAUACUGUCUGUUUCUCACCUCCAUCCCAUCUAACACAUUAAUAAUUACUAACUAUCCUUUUAGCCGCCUCUACACCCUAGUGCACUUAUACCAUAAUUAGGUCUAUCCUAAGUUCAUUCAAAGUCACCUCUCCAAAAAAAAAAAAAAAACAUGUCCUGAGUUUUAUAUAUUAUAUAACCAUAAUCGGUUCCCAUUAAUGUGGGUACUGAAUUGAUGGUCUAUGAAAUCUUUCAAUUGAACAAAUCUAUUGGAAAAUCCUUCAAUCGCCUAAUAUAGUCCAUACUAAUGCACUUAAAGUUUGUUCGAAAAAUGAUUAAACUAGCUAUCAUACAACAAUACCAAAUCAUUGGGCAUAAAACUCUUCGGACGUAAUUUACUAUCAUAGUAACUCUUCCUCCAUUUCUGAGUUACUUCCAUGUUAAACAGAGUUGUAGCCUGUAUUUUAUCCAAUUCCUUCAAUUUCACCAACCGAGAUUGUAAUGACUUUUUAUCACUGAGUCUUUCAUCUAAGGCAAUCCAUAAACUUCGAACCUCCAACUCAAUAAGUAAAAUGGUCUCUUGCCCGUAAACGAGUUGGAAUGGAGUAGAGUUGGUAGUUACUUUAUAUGCGGUGUAAUAUGCCCACAAAGCCACAAAAACUUUGGUCUUCCAAUCGGUAUCUGCUCCCAAAAUUGUCUUAAUCAAGACCUUACAUAAAAUUUCGUUGAUCUUAUCUGUUUGUCCAUUAGCACGAGGAUGAUAUGGAGUGGUUUUUUGAUGCUUGAUUUGUUACAUGUUUGUCAAGGCUACUAUGGUAGCAUUUAUGAAAUGGGUGAAGCAAUCGCUAACCAAUUCUUUUAGACAUCCAAAUCGAUUUAUAAUAUUUUUAUAUAAAAAAUUGGCCACCAUAUUGGCAUUAUCGUUGCAAGUAGCAGUAGCUUCUAUUCAUUUUGUAAUAUAGUCCAUGGUAACUAAAAUAUAUUGCUUCUAGCCAAGUUUUGACAUUAAGGCGAUAGGACCAACAAAAUCAAUACUCCAUUUUUCAAAUGGUACUUGUACCAAGAUUGGUAUUAAUGGCAUGGUUGAAGUAUCCAUAGAUUGACCAAUGCGUUGACAAAGAUCACAACGAUGAACAAAUUAGUGCACAUCAAAAAAUAUUGUGGGCUACUAAUAUCUGGCCAUUAAAGCCUUGCAAGCAGUAUUGUCUCCCACAAAAUGACCACCACUUCAGUAUGGCAACCUAUAUUGUAUCAACUGUACUUCACUUGGAAAGAUACAACAUCUCAAAAUACCAUCUUUGCCUUGUUUAUACAAAGCAUUGCCAAUCAUUGUGUAUGGAACACUCUUUAAAAUAAGACGCUUCUUAAGCUUAUCAAUAAAAGUCUAUAGAAAGGUAUAGAAGGUCAAAAACUGAAUGAUUUUAUUAUACUCGAGAGAAAUCACAUCCACUAUAAAUAACUCAAUGUCCAGAACAGCAUUAGGAAUAGUCUCAUUGCCGAGAAUAUUAGACAAAUGGGAUAAAUGAUCAACUUUUGCAUGUUUCUUCUUUGAUCAUAUGACAAUUAUAAAAUUGAACUCUUGUAGGAGUAAUAUCCAUUGGACAAUGCACCCACUCAAUUGAGGCUUAUUAAUUAUGUAUUUGAGGGCAUCAUAAGCUACGUAAAAGACAAAUGGAUACCCAAGCAAAUAGUACCAAAAUUUCUGAAUAGAGUAGAUCGUAUCCAAUGCUUCUUGUUUAGUAGAAGUGUAAUUGCAUUCAGCCGCUACCAAUUGUCGACUAGCAUAAUAAAUAAGAUGAUUCAGACUCUUGUCAUCUUUCUAACUUAGGACGGAUUCAAUAGCCACAUUGGAUGCAUCAAUGUACACAUGAAAGGGCUCCGUCCAACAAAGGGACACCAAUAUUGAAGCAGAGAUUAAUUUUGACUUCAAUGCCUCAAAGGCCCUGAUACACUCCAUGGUCCAAAUGGGACUAGUUUCAUCUGAUGGAGGUUUCUUCAGUAAGUUUGUUAAAGGUUGAUAAAUAAUAGCUAACAAACGAAUAAAUUGUUGAUAAUAAUUGACAUGGCUGACGAAUCUUCAAACUUUGGAGAUCAUCUCUGGUUUGGAUAAGUUUAUUAUAUGCUUCACUUUCUCACGAAUUGUAGCAAUACCAUGGUUGGAGACGAUAUGGCUCAAUAAUUUUCCUGAUAAAAUACCAAAUUGAUAAUUAUCCGAAUUCAACGAUAUCUCAAACUUAGCACACUAAGCCAAAAAUUUAUCUAGACAAGUAAGAUGGUCUUAUUUUGUACUAAAUGCAUAGAAGUCAUUUAAAAAGAUCUCCAUAAAUAUCCAGAGAUAGUCUUUGAAGGCUUGAGUCAUCACUCUCUAAAACAUGGCUAGGGCGUUACAUAACCCAAAAGGCAUCACACAAUAAGUAAAUGUGCUUCAACCUGUAAUAAAGGUCAUCUUGAGUUGGUCUUUCAUUGGAAUUGAACUUGAUUAUAUCCAAAAAAUCCAUUGAGGAACGAAUAAUAUUUGUGACCUACUAUGGCAUCUAAUAUACUAUUCGUGAAAGGCAAUAGAAAGUAAUCUUUCUUAAUGGCUCCAUUAAGUUUCUGAAAAUCCUAACAAAUGCAAAUUUUUCCAUUCUUUUUUGGCACCAUCACGAUUGGAGAAACCCACUCACUAUUUUGUAUUGGUGUCGUGUUAAAGUUUGGCUACUAUAUGAAAAUAAUGUAAAUAUGUACUUAAUAUAUAAUUUACUAAGUAAUAUGGUAAGAGCCAUGUUAGUAGAUUUUAGUUGGUUAUAGAAUAUAAUUUGAUUAUUACCUUGAAAAGAAGUUGUUUAAAAAGAUUACUAUAGAAUUUUUAUAAUUUUAAUUUCUUUUGAUAAUGGCUUUUAACAUUGGUUUUGGUUGAUAGUAACUUCUAAAUAUUUAGAGUCACCUUUGUUAGACAUUGGUGACUUUUGAAAACUUAUUUUGGUUCUUUAAUUUGGUGCUUAGAGUAUAAUUUAUAUAAAUCUUAUAAGAAAAAAGAUUGAAGAAGGAUUUUGGUAGUAAAAGGAGUAAUUAGGGUACCAAUAUAGAUGAAUGGAGAUCGAUGAUGAAAAUCUCCAUUCCUUUUGGUCAAAAAUCAUGACCAAUGGGCUUUGAGGAGGCUGCCCGAGGCCAUAUUGGAGAUUAGGGUUAGUUUUUUGGGGCCAUUCAAGCUUUGAAGGCUAAAGUCAGCAAGUUUAGGUUUUUGGCUAUGGUUUUGGUGAAAAUUUUGUAUAGUUUGGAGUUUAUAUGAAGGAAAUAUAAGUGCUCAAAGUUAAGGUAUUGAUUUGGGAGCUACUGUAUUUCUUUUUGGCAUAACGCACGCGUACGAAUAGCAAUUGAGGAUUGACAACUGCAAUUGGAGAGACCACUUUUGCUGCUACCCUUUUAACAUAAUGUUUACUAGAUUCCAAGUUGGAAGAAGGAGUUAUUGGAUUUUGAAGUCAGUGCAUGCAAUCUAAGGUAGUAAGUGACCCGAUUUACUAGUGGUUGUGACUUGAGCUAUAUCUUGAGCAAUUUGAUAAGGUUUUGAUUCAAAACUUUAAGAAAUAUGUAAAUUCGUGUUAAUAAACUUUGUACAUAAUUUUUAUGAUAUUUGAGUAUUGGAUUCUUGAGAUAUUAAGAAAAUAGUGCUCAGGUGCUUGUAGAUUAGGGUUUAGAGCAUCUGUUAGGAUUUCUUAGAUACCAAAAGAUCGAAGGUGAAUUUAUAGUUGUUUUUUGUUGUGAUAAAAGUUAAGGGUGAAUUCUACAUAUCUUAUAAAUUUGAGACAAAAAAAAUAAUUAAAUCAAGAGUUAUGAAUUUCUAAAGUUUGGAAAAAGAAAACCCAUUGCGAGAAAAACUUGUUUUGAAGGGAUUUUAUUAUAUUUUGAGUUUUUAUGCAAAAUAAAGGAGUUUUGGAAGCUAAGACAAGAUUCAUAUAAAGGUUUAAGCUACACUCUCUAUAGCUAGAUACCCAAUGUAUUUCCAAAUAGCAAAUCACUCCAUACAACAUCGUAAUUGAUACUAUGGUAUCAUCAUCGGAGCUAAGCUCAUUGUCCGACAUCAAUUCACAUGCUGGCAAUUGAGAUUCCCUAUGAUAGUAUACUAGGUACAUUUGUAACACCAUUUUAUCUCUAUCUUUGCCAAUUAUCAAAGUACCUUGACCUCAAUCAUUCUUGGCCUUUGCUUGAUAAAGCCAGAGUUGUUCUAAUAAAAUUUAAAACGAUAAAGUCGAACAUUGUAGCUGAAAGAUGAUAUAGUCAAUUUUAUAUGCAGUACCAGCAAUUAUAGUUUGAAUACUCCAUAAAAUAUCCAUUGCUUUAACAUGGCUAUGAUCUGCCAUCCAUAAUAUUAAUGUCAUGGGUAUUAAGUGUUCCAAAUCUAAAACAUCUAUUGUAUCAGCAUUCAUUAAAUUAAUGUUAGAACUACCAUCCAUUUCAACUCCAGAGAUCAUAACACCAUCAAUCGAUAUAUCAAUGGUUGGUGCACCUGGAUCAAGGUUCAAAUUGACUUUACAAACUUUUUUAUUACAUUACCUAUGCCGUGUUAACGAUGAAUUCAAUGUAGAAUGAUACUUUGGUGCAACUGCUAGAAGUUGUCUCAUAGAAAUAGAAGGCCAAAUAGCUUUCAGAUCCUUCAGAAUGUCAUAAGGUUUCAUAUUUAGGGUAAUUCCUAAUGCCCUCUUUCUUUUCAUUGAUUUGAAUUUAACUCAGAGAGGUAAGAUAUUCUUCCACCCUGGACUCGAAAUUAGAAUAGCAGCUGGAGCUUCCUUAGAAUCCCUGUUCUCGAGAAGAUCUUUCAAUAGAUAAGAAGUUUUCCAAAACUGCGUAGAAAAUAAAAUAGCUUGGAACGGAACCAAAGCAUCCGUAAUCGGCACCUUAUUAGGUUGCACAACUGAUUCAAGUCUCAUAUUGAGUAAAGAGUCCAUAUCAGGACCUAGAUUGGAUGGCCUUAUAAUUGGGUCCAAUUGGCCUUUCGCUUCAUGAUCACCCAAAUGUUGAAUUGGUCCUUUCUUCUUUUACUAACUCUUAAUAAGAAUGUCUUGGACACAUUUUAUCCGAUUUAUUGGAGAAUCUUAAAGACCUUGAUUUAUCUCCUCGAUUUUUUCUUGGCUUUAGAUCAGUUGAUCUCAAUUAUUGAAAUUGAAUGAAGCAUUACAUUGUUGAUACGUAUGCCGCAAUUGCUUGUAAUUGCCACAAACUGGUGCAUAAUUGUCAAUGGCUCUGGGAUUGGGACAUUUACUUCUAUAAUGACCAAUUUGUCUGCAACAAAAAUAAUGAAGUGGUCUUCUUACACCCCCAUCAGGCAUAUUGGGUGUUUUCAAUGGUAUAUACCUACUAGGCUUGUUCUAUGUAGGAUUAGAAAAUGAUCUUGGUUGUCCCGUUAGUACAGAGGGAACUUGAUUCGAUGGCACCGUUAGAGCAUAUUGCUGAUACCUCUAUUGCUCCUUACCAUAGUUUUAGAGGUUCAAUAAAGACCCUUGAUUAAAAUUAGAACUUUGGAAGUUAUUGAAUGCUCAAUUUUUUGGAUUAGUUCGAUUUCCAUUCCAUCCAAACAUAUUUUUUGUUUGAACUUGAUUGACAUCCUACGGAGUUGAUGGAAUCAUAGUCUGAUUACUGAAUUGUUGGUGCUUUUGUCAAUUCCAACAAUUAGCUGUUAAGUAUUUUCCUUCGUAAAAUGUACAUUGAUCCAUCAUUUGUGAGGGUGAAGGGCAUUCUGUUAUGAAAUGACCGUGGUCCUUAUAAUUAUUGCACCUUAUAUUGGUCCUAGUAUUGGUAGGCUUUUACCUCUUCUCCUUAUCAUUAGCCAUAUUAAUGGCCAUUUUUUCCAUUUUCUUCAUCGAGUUCAAUAACAAGGUUUCAUUGGAAUCUUUUGAGGUUGGUAUUAUUGGUAAUUCUGCUAUAGUUAAUGCUUGUUGAUAUGGAAAAUAAAGAGCAUACGCUAUUGUCACAUUUGGUGGUAUAGCUUACAAUUAGGUGAUAUUAACUCGUUCCUCAAUAUUGGCAUUGGAAUUGGCCCUUGUAUCUAACCUUCAUAGAUAACUAUCUACUAAUCCAUUCCAAGUCAAAUUUUGAUAACUGCCAUGAACUAGAAUCAUAAUGUCUCCUCCAGAUAAAAAUUGAUCAUAAUGAUAUUCCUUCUAAACCUUGGCUCUAUUAGGGGAUGCAGACACCAUAUCGAAUCGAGCUUUUUUUAUAAAUAUUUUUAUUUUUAGUGGGUAUAAACCAUUGAUUAAUAUGGAUAAGAUAAAUGUCUCCUAUAUUUGGUGAUUCGGCCACUUACUGAGUAUAUUGGCCAUCCAGCCAUGGUACGAUUCCACCGCCUCCUCUAGGAUCAUUUUGCUGUUCAUUAACCUCUCUCAAAGGUGAUCUUCAAAACUAAUUGGCCAAAAAUGGAUUAAAAAUACAUUCUUCAAUGCUUUC
rnacentral:lncRNA from 1 species